rnacentral:lncRNA from 1 species
GACCAGGGCGGGCUCGGGCUCUUCCACCACCCCUUGUUGAUGAGCGACCGAGGGAAGGAGCGGAGCCACAGCCUGGGAAGGCCAGUGGGAUGCGGGAGCACGCGAGGGCGGAAGGUGGGACGGUCGACGUCGCUGUUUUGUUCGGGAUGCUCCGAUAUGGUGAUGCUCGAGCACAUGCACAUGGAAGACACGCCGCGGACCACCACCGCCUUGUGAUUGAGCGCAUCAGUGCGCGACUGGCCCAUGAAGGGUUGGUGGCAGUACUCUAAUAGAUGUAGAGUGUGGCUAUGAACUCCUCUCGCGGCUUGGCAACGACACCGGACAAAGCGUGCAUCAGGUAUGUCCUAUCUUGCCACGGUUGUUGGUAAUACAACAUUUUCUCUUGGAUACAUUUCUCAACACUUGCCCUGUCGUCCCUAACGCGGGCACUGUCCAAGCUACUCCUCUCAUGCCCCAUAUCAGCCACGACGAUGGUGUUCGUCCACCUGCAGAAGUCGCCCAAUCAUCUGUGUCACCGUGUGUUCUCUCAGGUCAGCUUCUCUCUCUCUCUCUCNNNNNNNNNNNNNNNNNNNNNNNNNNNNNNNNNNNNNNNNNAGAUCUGGAGCGCCGCAUGCCGUGUACCUCUUGUUCGUCCACCUGCAGCAAUCGCCCAAUCAUCUGUGUCACUGUGUGUUCUCUCAGGUGAGCUUCUCUCUCUCUCUCGAGUUGGUACCUCUUGUUCCCCUUCAUUCACCCGUUUUGUGAGCCUGCAGUUUGAUGUGGACGACACGCCGCGGACCACCACCGCCUUGUGAUUGAGCGCAUCAGUGCACGACUGGCCCAUGAAGGGUUGGUGGCAGUACUCUAAUAGAUGUAGAGUGUGGCUAUGAACUCCUCUCACAGCUUGGCAACGACACCGGACAAAGCGUGCAUCAGGUACGUCCUAUCUUGUCGCGGUUGUUGGUAAUACAACAUUUGCUCUUGGAUACAUUUCUCAACACUUGCCGUGUCGUCCCUAACGCGGGCACUGUCCAAGCUACUCCUCUCAUGCCCCAUAUCAUCCACGACGAUGGUGUUCGUCCACCUGCAGCAGUCGCCCAAUCAUCUGCGUCACUGUGUGUUCUCUCAAGUGAGCUUCUCUCUCUCUCGAGUUGGUACCUCUUGUUCCCCUUCAUUCACCCGUUUUGUGAGCCUGCAGUUUGAUGUGUGCACUUGUGAUUUUUUCUUUGCAUGAAGUUAGCACAUGGGAUGGAUCUGGCGUGAUGGAUUUAGCUCAGCCGAAGAUGAUUCUAGGUAAUCUAUUUGUAUAUGGCAAGGUAAAAUGUUCUUAUCCAUUACUGUUCCAAUGGCAGGGAAGGAUGACCUUAGUCUAAUUAUGGCAAAUAGGUGGACUAUUGAGUUGCUGAUGUCUGAGUGUGAGUAAUUUUUUGCCUAUGUGUUUGAUUUGCAAACUCGUUCGAUACAUUUAUCUCUCCACUGUUAUUCUGAAUAAUUGCAUGUUGUUAUAAAUUUCAAGUUUGCUUCUUCACUAUAAAUCUUCCAAUUUCUUUUUACAAGAAUCUUGCAUACACAGAAAAGUGAGGCUUUGACAAGGGAUUACGUGUGGACCAUCUCGAACUCAAUGAAUAUGUAUGCUCCUUCUGUUAUAUUCUUGAUUGUUUUUCUUGUUAGUUAGCAUAAAAGAUUUCUAUCGUCUUGUUGAAUUUGUUAAUAAUUAGAAAAUGAUUACAUUUUUCUGAUUAAAUUUUAGUGAUGCUUAGUUUGCCAUGCUGUGGAAGGUGGAGGCAGUCUCGAUGUGGAUGGGUGAAAGGUAAAGGUUGAGGGAACGAGGGCGUCGAAGGAUCCACCAAAGUUGCCAUUGUAGUUGACCACGCCACCGGCGGUGUGUCAGACCUUUGUUGCCUCUGCAGGGAAGGGCAGAAGGCCUGCACCGCCAUGGAUCCUGUCCCAUCAUCUUGAGCACUUGUCGGUAUUGCCAUAUUGCAGAUUAUCUCUGAGGGAAGUUACAUUAUUUUCCCGUUAAUUCAGAUAUAUUAAUAUGUCCAGAUGUAAUUCCAAAUAUCUUAUGUUAGGCAAAGCUUCUAAAAUCAGUGAAGCUCUAGAGCUACUAAGGACUGGUUAAAUCAGUAAAGUUUUACAAUAUCUGCAUGAGUGGUUAUAACAUAGCACAUGUUAUUUGGUACUUCACUAUGUGGUAUCCUUUUUUUUAAUCUUGAUUAUUGAGUCAACAUAUUGAUUGUGGGCUUAUAUACUGCCAAACUGGCCUUCUUAUUCUGUCAUCCAAUUCAUGCAAAAUUCACGCUCACCAUGACAAAGGCCUAAUUUGUUAGCUGAUGUAGUUUUCUAAUUGUGUGCUCUUCAUUUGUAGUUGCCAAGUCUUAAAAUAUUUGUAGUGACGUAACUUUUUUUCUUCAUAUCAGCAGGAUUUUAGAUAGCAUUUUUUAAUGCUAACUGAAGUAAUAAACAAAUUAGCUUAGAAGUCAGUGUAAAGUGCUUAAGAGGAUUUUUUUUUCUCUGCACUAACAAAAUUUGAUGGCAAUUCUUGUGAACUGAUCAAAGGUCAGGUUUCAAAAGGUAUGCAUUUUUUUCAUCAUUCUCAGUAUCAUAAAUCAAUUUUGCACAUACAUAUGAUGAAUAUGAUUGCUCAUUUUCCUUUCAUGGUAAAGAAAUCUAUGUGGCGUUACAUGUCAGAUGAUACAUAUAGGAAUUCAUCCUACAACUGAACCUUUUAUUAUAUGACACAUUAGGAAAAUAUGCUUUCUACUUUUUUAUAUUUGCUUCCAAGAGGUUUAGUCAAUUGUUAAUCCGUUCCCUGCAUUAAUUUGUAAGGCUCUAAAGCCACGUUUUUCAAGCUGAAACAAUAAAGGCUAACAUGUCAGAUGAUACAUAUAGGAAUUCAUCCUACAACUGAAAUUUACUGGAUUAUUAUCUCGAUCUUCAGUUCUUCUGAUAUAUUUUUCACGAUCCAAGUGUUAGGAACAAAGAGUCUAAGAAGAAGCAUCAUAUUCCAAUGUUGAUAUUUUAUUCAAGCAUCAAUAAUACUCCUUCUUCUCUAUUAUAUGAUGGCAUCAGGCUAAUUCUUUUUUCAAUGAACAACUACAAUGUGCAACACGAAACAUAGACCGGGACCUGAUGAUGGUGCUCCGGAGGCAAUGAGCUAGCACUGGGUUCACGUGCGAUCAUAGUUUGAGAAACUUAGCGAUCCUUCAAGUGCAUUGUGUCAAAAGAUUGUCGUGGUCCUGCUCUUCUACACUGCCCACAAGAGACAAUAGAUGACCAUGUUGUCAAUUCCAAACGGGAGCUCAUGUAGAGGAGCAGCAAAAGCAUGUCACACAUGCUCUAAUGUGGUUGUACGAACAACGUCUAUGCCAGCAAUGAUAUCUAUGUCAAGAAGAGUGGCAACUGUGGGAACCCAAUCAGAAGGUGGUUUAGACUCUCUUUAGCCGAUGUACGUUGCGCUCCACACAAGUGCGUCUGCAUUUUUUCCCUUGCACUCCUAGAGGGAUCAAGACACAUAGAAUUAGAAAUGAGAUGGUAGGCCUGAAAAUGUAAGAACUAAAGAAAUAUAUCCCCUUUCCUGUAUCUCUUCUCGAGAUGAAACAAUGUUUUUGCAAUAUUAUUUCCUGUAAAAUCUCAUAUUGAAAUAAUCUUGUAGACUUUAGUAUUGCAAGGUGUAAGAUGUUGAUUGCGAGUUGCAAAUCUUACACCAAGAGGUGGUAUCUCUCAGAAAAGUAUCCUUGUUUUUUCUCCUUUUUAUUUCUUGUGUUCUGUAUAUCCAAUGCUUUCACUACCUGAUUUGUUGGAAUUACUACCUUCGUACCAAAAUAGACCAUACUUGGCACGGCCUUCAUUAUUCAUAUUAAAGGCAGAAAUUUCCAAGUUUGAUACAACACGAAGUUGACGAUGGAGACACAAUGAAGUGGGAUGGCAUUAAAUUAGAGAGAAAGAAGAACAUGAGGCGUGAUAUGGCGAAAGGUCGGGAGAGAAAAACAAGCUUUGAUGUACCGAUUUGGUAGAACAUUGCAUGCACAUUACUGUCCCCACAGUUUUACGGAGUAUAAAAGUCGAUUGAUUAGCCUAUACGUUGGUUUUAUGACCUUCAAGGAAGAUGUGGAGGUUGCUAAAUAGGAGGGAGGAAGACACCAUAUUUAUGAAUAAAUUGUCAGAAAAAAAUGAUAUUAAUUUUUCCUGUGGCAACACACGGGCAAUCAACUAGUUGUGGUAGUGUUACCUUCUAUUUUUAUUUUUGUCUUCUACUCGCUGAUUUGAACUUGGUUCACAUUUAAUAAAACGGUUGUGCCAAAAAUGGGUGGUUGCAUAAAUGCCUUGCAAAGGCUCAUUUGAGAACAAACAUAAAUAGUUCCAAUUUAGAAGAAGAAACUAAAGAUGCAAUCGCAACAUCGUUGAUAGUACUAGUAGCAGUGAUCUACCAGAUAUGGUGUUCACCAAUCAAUGAGGCAUGACAUGUCGUGUUCAUAGUGACCUAUUGUAUUGGUAGUGUGGUACAAGAAGAGUAGCAAACAUAUCUGAAGAUGAAUCACCAACAUUUAUACUGCCAAAAAAUGACAACAAUAAAUGUAAUCUCGUGAAUGAACCUAGCACAGAUCAAACAAAUCAUAAUAGAGGUCGUGAGUCCAUUAUAGCCAGUUCAGUUCAAAGGCAGCAGUCCUAUUCAAAAGCUACAACAACAAAAAAGACCUGCAUAUUUCAGGAAAUAUAUCCCUCUCGUGAAUUGAGAAACAGUUACAGGCCACACUAAUACACAACUAGAUAAAUCACUAUGGUAUGCAUCAACUGACAUUUUACCGAUCUCCAUUAGUGUAAUAUAACAUGAACUUUUCUCACCAGCCUAGUAUUAGUUUUGGUAACUCACCAUGUUGGAUGGAGAUGCCAGAGACAUGGGUUCAGUGACAGUUCGCCUGAGUCAUGGUGGUCCUAUAGGCUAUGGUGGACAAGCUUAGUUGGUUAAUUUUUUCUAUCUCUUACUUUCUUACUCCAAAAUAAAGCAAAGUAGACAAAGGAAGAACAAAAAUACCAUGUGUUUGAAUAAACGACUUAACAGGAGGGGGCUCGGUGCACAGGAAUGAGAGUGGGCGUUGUCAUCACACCACCACUCCAGACCUCCACCAUGGUCAACAAUACAGCCACCUUAACGCGGCCACAGACGUCACUACAACUAUAUCACAAUUAGUAUGCGAACGGUCAAAUAAUAAAUUAUUGUUAAAGCCAAAGUGUGCAUACCAAAGAAAAAAAUCCAAAUGUUUCCUUACCGUUUCAGUUCUUGCAGUUUGAGAGAAUAGUUGCCCUUAAAAAAGAGUAAAAUUAAGCACAUACAAACAAACUGAUAGGAGCUGGCCUCCUACCAGGGCGUAGACGUAGGUUAUAUGGGUGGCUGGGGGAUUGGCGAAGCAGUAGGCGUGAGCGACGGCGCCGCAGCGCCAUGGUCGCGAGAUGGAGAAGGCCGCCCACGACGGCUAGGGUUUAGGGUUGCCGGGCAGAAGCCGAGCAAAUAAAUUUGCUUCUUCUUAAUCUCAGAAUAGGUCUUUACAUGAGUAUAUAUAAUCUCAUAGCUAGAUAAACAUACGAUAACUGGGCUAAGCCCGUAACUAUGAUAAGUGGGCUAAUCCCCUAAUUACUGUUGGGUCGGCGGCGGCUAUAAGUAGCCCCGGUCAUAACAUCUCUCCCCGCCUGCGCAAACGGCUCGUCCUCGAGCUGAAGUCUGGAAACUGAUGACGAAAUUCCUCGAGCUGCUCCGAAGUGGCGUCCUCCUCGGAAAGGCCUUGCCACUGAAUCAGAAGUCGCCAAACGUCACGGCUCAGCUGAGCCCGCAACACCUUCUGUGGAACUGGAAGUAGGCGACCUUUGGCAGCUGUCGGAAGGACCGGCGAAGAUGUCGGUGGCUCGCCGCGGAAAGGCUUGAGCAGCCCCACAUGGAAGACAUCUUGGAUACGGGCGCCCGACGGCAAUUGUAGUCGGUAGGCCAUGCUGCCGACGCGCUCCACCACCAGAAACGGCCCGAUGUAACGUGGCCCGAGCUUGCGCUUGGCGCGCAGGUCAAGCAAGUGAGUGGUGCAGUGGAGAAGGCGCAGCCACACCCAAUCGCCUACCGCAAACUCUACAUCACGAUGAUGGGCGUCAUAGUAAUUCGUGGACAGCUGUUGUGCUUGGAGAAGACGUUGACGCACUACCNNNNNNNNNNNNNNNNNNNNNNNNNNNNNNNNNNNNNNNNNNNNNNNNNNNNNNNNNNNNNNNNNNNNNNNNNNNNNNNNNNNNNNNNNNNNNNNNNNNNGGCAUGCAAGCUUGCUCCCAACGCUAUGAAGGGGUUGUCAAUCCCUUAUAGAUUGUUUGCCAAGUGAGAACUAAAAGCAACAAAGUAACAAAGAGAAGUAAAAGGGGAGGUGUAAACGAUGGGUGUGAAUAGACCCGGGGGCCGUAGUGUUUACUAGUGGCUUCUCUCAUGAAAGCAGGUAGACGGUGGGUGAACAAAUUACUUUCGAGCAAUUGAUAGAACCGCGCAAAGUCGUGACGAUAUCUAUGCAAUGAUUAUAUCUAUAGGCAUCACGUCCGAAACAAGUAGACCGAUACUUUCUGCAUCUACUACUAUUACUCCACAUGUCAACCGCUAUCCAUCAUGCAUCUAGUGUAUUAAGUCCAUAAGAACAGAGUAAUGCCUUAAGCAAGAUGACAUGAUGUAGAGGGAUAAUAUCAAACCAAUGAUAAAAACCCCAUCUUUUUACCCUUGAUGGCAACUACNNNNNNNNNNACCAAUGAUAAAACCCCAUCUGUUUACCCUUGAUGGCAACUACUUGAUGUGUGCCUUGCUGCCCCUAUUGUCACUAGGAAAGGUCACCACAUUGUAGAACCCAAAACCAAGCACUUCUCCCAUUUCAAGAAUCAUAGAUCUAGUUGGCCAAACAAAACCCAAGACUUGGAGAGACUUACAAGGAUAUCAAAUCAUGCAUAUAAGAAAUCAGCAAANNNNNNNNNNCCCGUACUAUCACUGGGAAAGGUCAGCACAUGGUAGAACCCAAAACCAAGCACUUAUCCCAUUGCCAAAAUCAUAGAUCUAGUUGGCCAAACAAAACCCAAGACUCNNNNNNNNNNNNNNNNNNNNNNNNNNNNNNNNNNNNNNNNNNNNNNNNNNNNNNNNNNNNNNNNNNNNNNNNNNNNNNNNNNNNNNNNNNNNNNNNNNNNCGAGUAUGUGAAAGCUCUUAAAGAAAACUAGUGGGUGUGCAUCCAACUUGCUUGCUCACGAAGACCUAAGGCAAUUUUGAGGAAGCCUAUCAUUGGANNNNNNNNNNNNNNNNNNNNNNNNNNNNNNNNNNNNNNNNNNNNNNNNNNNNNNNNNNNNNNNNNNNNNNNNNNNNNNNNNNNNNNNNNNNNNNNNNNNNNNNNNNNNNNNNNNNNNNNNNNNNNNNNNNNNNNNNNNNNNNNNNNNNNNNNNNNNNNNNNNNNNNNNNNNNNNNNNNNNNNNNNNNNNNNNNNNNNNNNNNNNNNNNNNNNNNNNNNNNNNNNNNNNNNGUGUUUUAUAUUAUUUUUUUGGUGGGCUCUUUGGCCUCUUUUUUUUGGUGGGCUUCUUUGGCCUCUUUUAUUUCCUCACAUGGGACAAUGNNNNNNNNNNUAAAUCAUGCAUAUAAGAAAUCAGCAAAGACUCAAAUAUAUAUAUCAUAGAUAAUCUGAUCACAAAUCCACAAUUCAUCGGAUCUUGACAAACACACCGCCAAAGAAGAUUACAUCAGAUAGAUCUCCAUGAAGAUCAUGGAGAACUUUGUAUUGAAGAUACAAGAGAGAGAAGAAGCAAUCUAGCUACUAACUACGGACCCGUAGGUCAGAAGUGAACUACUCAUGAGUCAUUGGAGGGGCGAUGAUGAUGAUGAAGAAGCCCUCCAACUCCAAAGUCCCCUCCGACAGGGUGCCGGGAAGGGUCUCCAGAUGAGAUCUCGCGGAAACGGAAGCUUGCGGCAGCGGAAAAGUAUUUUCGAGGCUCCCCUCAUUUUUUGCGGAAUAUUUGGGAAUAUAUAGGCCCAUGAUCUAGGCCAGGUGGCGGUCAGGGAGGCCACAAGCCUGCCCACCGCCGCUUCCCCCUGGUGGCGGAGUGGGGGCUUGUGGGCUCCCUGGAGCCCACCUGGCUUGGCCCAAGGGCCCCGUGAUCUUCUUCCGUUCGGGAAAAAAAUCAUUUCGGGGUUUUUCUUCCGUUUGGACUCCGUUCCAAAAUCAGAUCUGAAAAGAGUCAAAAACACGGAAAAAACAGGAACUGGCACUUGGCACUGAAUUAAUAAGUUAGUCCCAAAAAACAUAUAAAAGGUACAUAAAACAACCAAAGACGACAAGAGAACAGCGUGAAACCAUCAAAAAUUAUAGAUACGUUUGAGACGUAUCAAGCAUCCCCAAGCUUAACUCCUGCUCGUCCGCGAGUAGGGAAGUGAUAAAGAAUGAAUUAUUGAUGCUUUCAUGCUACCUAGCGAGGUGUCCUUUGUAAUUCCUCUUAUGUGACGCGAAUGUUCAGAUCCAUUAGAUUCAAAACAAUACUUUUCUAUUGACGUGGAAACAAUAAUAAUUCAAGCAAACUAGCAAGGUAAUCAUGAACUUUCAAAAUAACAAGGCCAAAAGAAAGUUAUCCCUACAAAAGCAUAUAGUCUGGCUAUGCUCUAUCAUCAUUGCACAACGAAUUUAAAUCAUGCACAACCCCGGUAUUGGCAAUGUAAUUGUUUCACACCUUUACUUUCUCAAACCUUUUCAACUCUCACGCAAUACAUGAGCGUUAGCCAUGGUUAUAGCACUAUAGAUGGUGUGGAAUGUAGUGGAGGUUGCAAGACAAAAAAGGAGAAGAUAAUCACAUUAACUAGGCAUAUCAAUGAGCUGUGGAGAUGCUCAUCAAUAGAUAUCAAUGUGAAUGAGUAGGGAUUGCCAUACAAAUGAUGCACUAGAGCUAUGAAAAUGUGAAAGCUCUUAAAGGAAACUAGUGGGUGUGCAUCCAACUGGCUUGCUCACGAAGACCUAAGGCAAUUUUGAGGAAGCCUAUCAUUGGAAUAUACAAGCCAAGUUACAUAAUGAAAAUUUCCCACUAGUUAUAUGGUGGUGACAAAACGAGAGACUCUCAAUCAUGAAGAUCAUGGUGCUUAAUAUGCACAAGUGUGGAAAAAGUGGUAGCAUUGUCCCUGCUCUCUUUUUCUCUCAUUUUCUUUUUAUUUUUUUGGUGGGCUCUUUGGCCUAUUUUUUUUAUUUUGGUGGGCUUCUUUGGCCUCUUUUAUUUCCUCACAUGGGACAAUGCUCCUGUAAUGAUGAUCAUCACACUUUCAACUCAAAACUUAGAGCAACUAUGACUCUAUAUGGAAUGCCUUCGGUAGUGUACCGUGGCAAUGAUCUAGCAUGGCAUAGACAUCAAUGGAAACAUCAUGCUAGCUAUCUUACGAUCAUGCAAUGGCAAUGUAGACAUGGUGGCACAUGUCAUGGCGGUAGUUGCAUGGCAAUAUAUCUCAGAAUGACUUUGAAAAAGCCAUAAUAGGUUGGUAUGGUGGCUGUUUUGAGGGAGGCUAAUGGUGGGUUUUGUACACCGGCGAAAGUUGCACGGCACUAAGAAGAUAGUGAUGGUGGAAGGUGAAAGUGCAUCUAAACCAUGGACUCAACAUUAGUCAUGAAGAACUCAUAUACUUGUUGCAAAAGUUUUAUUAGUAAUCGAAACAAAGCAUUCAACGCAUACUCCUAGGGGAAGGGUUGGUAGGUAUAAACCAUCGCGCGAUCCCGACCGCCAUGCAAAGGAUGAUAAUCAAUAUACUAAUCAUGCUCAGAUUUCAUCACAUAGAGGUUCACCAUACGAUGCAUGCUACGGGAAUCAGUAACUUCAACACAAGUAUUUCUAGAUCCACAACACCUUACUAGCAUGACUUCNNNNNNNNNNCGCAAAGGAUGACAAUCAAUAUACUAAUCGUGCUAAGAUUUCAUCACAUAGCGGUUCACCAUAAGUGCAUGCUACGGGAAUCACUAAAUUCAACACAAGUAUUUCUAGAUCCACAACACCUUACUAGCAUGACUUCAAUAUUACCAUAACCACAACUCAAAACUAAUUGAGAUGAAUCAAACUUCUCUAACUAUUCAAUGCACAUGAAGGUGGAAGUUUCCGUAUCCCUUUGGAUAACUACCCCUUUUGAUACUACUUUCAAAGCAUAGAUCAACUACCAUGCCACGCACUGCUAUGCUCGAAAAGAUAUAAGUGAAGCACAUAGAGCAAAAGUAUCUAGCUCAAAAGAUAUAAGUGAAGCACAUGUGAGCUGAAUUGUCUACCAAAAGAUAUAAGUGAAGCUCGACAAAAUCACGGUGNNNNNNNNNNUCGUAUCCCUUUGGAUAACUACCCCUUUUGAGACUACUUUCAAAGCAUAGAUCAACUACCAAGCCACGCACCGCUGUGCUCUAAAAGAUAAAAGUGAAGAACAUAGAGUAAAAGUAUCUAGCUCAAAAGAUAUAAGUGAAGCACAUGUGAGGUGAAUUGUCUACCAAAAGAUAUAAGUGAAGCUCGACAAAAUCACGGUGAGUGCAUGUCUCUCUCUCUAGGUGUGCAGAAAGGAUUAUUGUGACACAACAAAAAUAAAAGACUCCUACGAUAAAAGACGCUCCAAGCAAAAACACAUAACAUGUGGUGAAUAAAAAUAUAGCCCCAAGUAACGUUACCGAUGGAUUGAAGACGAGAGAGGGGAUGCCUUCGCGGGGCAUCCCCAAGCUUAGGCUUUUACGGCAUCCUUGAAUCUGUUGGGGUGCCUUGGGCAUCCCCAAGCUUGAGCUCUUGCCACUCUUUAUCUUUUUGUCCAUGAGAGCUUCACCCAAAACUUGAAAACUUCACAACACGAAACUUAAACAGAAACUCGUGAUAACAUUAGUACAAGAAAGCAACCUUAAAUUAUACUUGUGCUUAUGUUGGGUUACUGUACUUUCAAUCUUCAAUGGCUAAUACCCCCAUACUAUCCAUAGUUUCAUCAAAAUAAGCAACCAACACAAGAAAAACAGAAUCUGUUAACAGCAGACCAGUCUGUAGCAAUCUGUAUAUUUCGUAAACCUCUGGUACUUCAAAAAUUCGGAAAAAUUACGACAGUCUGAAGAAUUUGCAUAGAAAUCAGCAGCAAAAAUAAUCAACUCAAAAACUUUUACAAAAAAAAAAUGAAAAUUCUUUUCGUGAGCAGAAAGUUUCUGUCUUUUCCAGCAUGACCAAACGAUCAUCCCCAAGACNNNNNNNNNNNNNNNNNNNNNNNNNNNNNNNNNNNNNNNNNNNNNNNNNNNNNNNNNNNNNNNNNNNNNNNNNNNNNNNNNNNNNNNNNNNNNNNNNNNNAAGUUAGAAAUAGUUAAAAAUGGAUAUUGUGUCUUUGAAUGGUGAAUUUGAACACACAAAAAGUCUGGAGUUCAAAUAAGUUCAAAAAAAUGAANNNNNNNNNNGAUGAGUUUUCGUAUUAAACCCUAAUACUUCGAAGGAGACUGUCUCUUUUGAACACGAUGUGCAUCUAGUUUUUGCCGCAACCCUCUCAACUUUUUAGCACAUGCCAUGUGCGUGAAAUGAUUAUACCAUGCCAACUUUCAACAUUUUCAGAGUUCAUUUGUAGUGCUUUUCAAAUUUAAGAGUCAUUUAGCUCAAAACAAAAAUCAGUAAAUGUAUGAAAAAUAUCAAAUGGGCCGACGGACCUUUUGUCCCGGUUCUAGCCAACAACCGGUACGAAAGUACUCUUCUUCCCGCCCUUUUGGGCCAUCGGAAGUGUGGCUUUGGUCCCGGUUGGUGCCACAAACCGAAACCAAAGGUUUUGCAUAUAGUGCGGGAGUUGUCGAAAUUGACCUUUAGUCCCGGUUGGUGUAACAACCCGGGACUAAAGGUGUGCUUUGGUCCCGGUUGGGGCCACCAGCCGGAACAAAGGUGUUCGUAUAUUGUGGGAGUUGUCGAAAUUUCCACCAACUUCCAUCCCCCCCGUUCUCUCUUCCUCACCGUCGCACCCGAGCCCGUCGCCGCCGGCCCGCGUCUCCUCCACGAGCCCGUCGUCGCCGUCGCCGUCGCUCACGAGCCCGUCGUCGCCCCGAGCCCAUCACUGUCACUGUCGCUCCCGAGCCCGUCGUUGUCGCCGUCGCCCCCGAGCCCAUCGUCGUCGCUGUUGUCCCCGAGCCCAUCACCGUCGCCGUCACCCCCGAGCCCAUUGCAGUCAUUGUAGUCACCCGUCUCCACCCAUCGUCGUCGUCGUCGUCGUUGCCGUAGCCCCCGUGCCCAUCGCCGUCGUUGUCGUCGCCCGUCGUCGUUCCGAAGCCCACCAUCGUUGCCCGUCGACGCACCGGUAGCACGUCCAUUGAUCUCUCCAUCUCCCUAUUUGCGAAUCUAUGUGUGUGAGAGGACGUAGUCUAAUUGUGAAUCCCUGUGUGUGUAUUACAGUCAUAUUAGAAUAUGUUGGGUACAUUUUUUAACUCCCCAAUGUGACACAAGUUAUAAAAGUUAUAAAAAUAUUUAGAUUAUAUUCAGUUUCAAUAGCAAAUAAAGUUAUAAAAAUUAUAAAAAUAUUUAGAUUAGAUUAAGUUACAAAUUAAGUUUUCAUGUUAAUAUUUGGGAUUAUGUAUAAAGGGCUUCCCCCCCCACUUAGUAAUAUUUCCAGAAACAAUGGAUAUUCCAAAGAGACAUGGAAAAAGAAGAAAUUUUGGGGGAUAUAAUCCACGGCGACGGUAGUAAUGUCGAACUUUUGGUCAGCGACAUCGGUGACUACCGAAUCCUGGAGGAAGGACAUUAUCAUGAUGGCUUCGGUGAUCGAACAAUGGAGGAGGAAGGACAUUAUCAUGAUGGCUUCGGUUACUACCGAAUCCUGGAGGAAGGAGACCAUGAUGACGGCUCCGGUGACCGAACGGAGGAGGGAGCUAUUGAAAAGUCCGGAUCGGGCCAAACUUCGGUAACGAGACGAGGCCCGACGAGAAGGUUGGGCAAGGAUCAAAAGUUCACGAUCACAGAACUGUCGAACGAUGGCCAACCGAUUGAACCCAAGCAGACCAGGGACGCAUUUUCUACUCAGUGCGGAGCUAUUGUCAGGGAAAACAUCCCGAUAAGCAUCAAGCAAUGGAAUAAGCCUAAGGGCGACAACCUCCCUGAAGGUCAUUAUGUCACUGAUAGGCUGAAAGAUUAUCUUUGGACCGCGUUGAAGGAAAAAUUUCACCCUACCACCAGAGGAGGAUCCGAAUAACCCAGUUAUAGAGCCACUGGUCAAGGCGUGUGCUCUUAAGAAGAUGGAAGAACUAUUCAGGAGGUGGAAGAAAGAGUUGAAAUCAAAGUAUGUCGACCAAGGGAAGACUCCAGAAUUCGUCGGCCGAUUUGAGAAGAUUAGAGAUCACUGGCCCGCAUUUGUGGCCUACAAGUCAUCGGAUUAGAGUAAGGAAAUGUCAGAGAGAAACAAGAACAAUGCUGCAAAGAAGCAGUAUCACCAUCACACGGGGUUGGGUGGCUACCUCAAAGGUCGUCCGUUGUGGGACAAAGCUGAGAAUGACCUCAUUGCUAAAGGGGUCCAACCACAGACAUGGAACUGGCCCGACCGAUCAAGGAAUUGGUUCUUCGGAGUUGGGGGAAAUUUGGACCCUGAAACAGGGGAGUGUCGUUGGACGGACGAGCAACUUGCAACACCCAUCAACAAGAUUCAGCAGUGUAUCACCGCAGCGUAGGAAGGGGCGUUCUUUCUCAAAAGAGAGAAGGACGAACUGACCGAGGCCCUAGAGAAUGUUGAGCACCCUGGACGAACACGAGGCACACCAGGCUCUAUUCCGUGGAAGGUUGGGUUUCCCGACGCAGCCGGUUACAGAAUCCGAGCGAGAAAGAGGAAAGCGGAGCUGAGAGACAUGCAGAAGAUCAAUGCAAGACUACAAAUUCUAGAGGAACUUCAAAGCCAGCGAGCUGUCGACCAACCAUCUCAGCGGCACGAAACUACCCCAGAAUUUAUCCCGCCAUCUCAGCGGAGAAGCAGCGUGGUCGUCUGACUUCACGGCUCCUAGCUACCCCGUGUAUACUAUCAAGGAGUCUCAACCUUGCGAGCUUUUGACAAAAUGCCGGAACCUCACUUUCAAGGCUGCUAUCGGCAUUGUUGCACGUCCUCAAUCCAACGGAACUUUUCACUGCCGUCCGAUUCCACGUGGUUAUGCUCUUGUGAUGGUGGAUGAAGUAAAGAAGGAUUUUGAGCAGCUCGAGCUUGACCACCCUACAUGUGAAGAUGAGAAUAAGCUGGUUCAUGCUUUGAGGAGUACAUGUUUAUGGCCGAAGGAGUGCAUCAAUCUUCCAAACUGGACGCCUCCUCCUCCUCCAGCGAGUGAUCAGGGCACUCCUCAUACUCCUCCGGUGACUGAUCAGGGCACUCCUCAUCCUCCUCCAGCGAAUGAUCAGGGCACUCCGGCUCCUCCGACGCAUGAGGGCACUCCGCCUUCUUUUUCAGCUCCUCCUCCGGCGCGUGAGGGCACUCCGCCUCCUUCUUCGACUCCUCCUCCGGUACGUCGGAGCAGUACGCCUCCUUCUUUGUCUCCUCCUAUGGCGCGUCGGAGCACUCCGCCUCCUUCUUCGGCUCCUCCUCCAGCGCGUCGGAGCAGUCAUCCUCCUUCGGCUCCUCCUCCGGUGCGUCGGAGCACUCCGCCUCCUUCUUCGGCUCCUCCUCCAGCGCGUCGGAGCAGUCCACCUCCUUCUUCGGCUCCUCCUCCAGCGCGUCGGAGAAGUCCUCCUCCUUCGGCUCCUCCUCAGGCGCGUCGGAGCAGUCCGCCUCCUCUGCAACAGCAGAAGACAGACGUCGUCGCCGCUCCGCCGAAAGUUAUACAAGUAAGAAAGAUGCCGCCUCCUCCUCCUUCUCUCAAGCGGAAGACAGACUCCACCGUCGCUCUGGCGGCUAGCAGUGAUGCAAUGUUAGCAAAAUGAAGAAGUGGGAAAACAAUUCCCCAGCUUGACCAACAGAAGAAGCAAUCGUGCCCCCCACUCAAGGUGUCUAGCGAUAUCGUCGUCGCUAAUGAUUCGGGGUUGCUGCCCGGUACCAAUCCUGGUGAUUACGUGAGCGAUUCAGUAAUUUUUAAGAUGGACGAGGUAAUAAAAGAAAAAUUAUAUAAAUUCGUGCUCGGGAAGCCUCUUGUCAAACCUGGUCAUCCUCCUCUAACACCGAGGAUGCACGAAUUGCAUGAGUGGUACAUGAACAUCUUCAAGGAGAAAAUUUAUUGGAGCUACAGUGGUGCUUGUUGAAUUUGAGGAGUUAUUUCAGUUAUACAAUGACCUAUCCCUCAACAAACAACUCCUGACUUGCUACUGUUUGUAAGUAUUACUUUUAUAGUUAAGUCUCUAGAUCAGCUCGUUCAUUGCAUGUAUCUAUAAUUGUCCUCACUAUAUAUAUUAUGCAGAUUGAAGAUCGCCGAAUGAAGAAAAGUAGGAAUCUUCGACGUUGGGUUCAUUAGCCCAGAAUCGGUAAAUGUAUUGUCGGUACGAAAUGAAACCAAAGAGACCGAUGUUAAGUUGUUAAAUUCGUUGCUUGUAAAUCGAAACAAAAGGGAAAUACUCUUUCCUUACAACUUCAGGUGAGUGUUGUUGUCUUCUCUGUAUACUCGGUUUCGCUUACUCGAGGUUAAUUAGUAAAUGUAAUUGAUGAGUUAUAUAUGUGUGCACAGUUACCACUGGAUUCUGUUAUCCAUUAAGCUUGACGCGGCAAAAGUAAUUGUCCGAGGAUUAUGCGGACAUGACUGCAAUGCUUAAGAAGUAAGUUCACUCAAUACCGGGACCAUACCGGCAUGCAAAUUUCCUUAAUUUCCUGAUAUCAAGUAUUCAUUUUAUUUUCCUGGCAGGAUUUGGAAGAAGUUCACGAAUAAGGUUCGCGGUAAAGAGUUGCAGUUUACGCACCCCAGUAAGUAGUACUAGCUAGCUAGUUCCGCGCAUCUCUAAUUGAUUGAAAUUUUCAUCAAUAUAUCAUUACCAUGCUUGCUUAUUAGUUUGAUUGAACUCUAUAUAUUCUCGUAAAGUGCUUGUACCAGGUAGUUGGGACUGAAAAAUGUGCAUACUACGUAUGCGAGUUCAUUCGUCUCUCGACCUCUGGGCGGGGUAUCUCUGACGAACAAUUUGAAGUACGUAAGUAAUAUUCACAAUUUUAUCUUAUAUAUUACCUUCAAUUGUGUUGAGUUUUAUUCAUAUAUAUGCAUGUAUUGAUCCAUUCUUUAAAUUAGAUCUGGAAGAAGCGGGAUGAACGCCUAUCAGAUGAUGGCAUACGAGCAAUUAAAGAGGAAUUGGCGGGUUUCCUUCUUGACCACGUCAUACCUAGCGACGGAGAAUAUCAUGUGGGAUAUUUGUGAUUGUAUCUUUGGUAGAUGAUGUUAGGCAUUGUAAAAGAUGUUAAGUAUUGUAAAUCAUUUCCUUCAUUUUCUUAUUAGCUAGCGUCAUGUUCUCUCUAUAUGUAUAGUAGUUAGCGUCGACCAAGCAUGGAGAAAGAGAGGACACUUCUCUCUAUUAGCUAGCUAACACAAUAUGAAACCACUAAAUUAACCCUCCAACCCCCCCCCCCCCCCCCCGCGAUAAAAAAACAAAAACCGCAGCCCGGGCAGAUGCUGACGCGUGGAUACCAUGUUGUCCCGGUUGGUGUGGACAACCGGGACUAGAGAACCUCCUGCUCGGGCUCGCCGUAGCGGCCACGUGGAGACCAUUCGGUCCCCGUUCGUAAGCGAACCGGGACUAAAGGUUUUGGGCUUUAGUCCUGACCAUUUAGUCCUAGUUCAAGAACCGGGGCUAAUGGGCCUCUGGAACCGGGACAAAUGGGCAUUUUCUACUAGUGUGUACUAUUUUCAUUCCUGCGUGAUCGACGUUGCAUGGAUUUGUAUUGAUUUGGGAAGGGGAAAUGAGGGGGCGGUUGAGGCCAAGGACAAAUGAGGGAAAGCAGAUGUUGUCCGUGGACAUGUGAAGGCAUAUUUGCCCAAUCCGGUUGGAGAUGCUCUAAGAUCAAGUCUAGACCAAUCGUAAUAUGGGCAACCUUCACAAUAUAUAUGGAUCAUAUUCCAUAUGCAUUUGGAGCCUACGGAGACCAUAUGUAAAAACAUAGUCAUCAUAUUUGUUAGCUCUAGAUAUUUUGUUUUCUUUUUCAUCAAUUUAAUAGUCUCACACUCAAUUCAACAGAUUAAAAAUACUAAUUUGAGGUUAACAUUGUAUUACAAAGUUUUAUAGAUGGGAAAAAAGUCGAUUAGCGACAUUUUAUACCAUAUGUACAAAUUUUCUUGCUUUUUAGCGACUAUAGCAUCAUUUUGAGCCCCAUGUACAUGAACAUGUGAUGAAUCCACGCGUUGUCUAGGCACAAUGGCAUGACGGUCUAACGACCUCAUCUUGGUUCCAUUCCUGCCCAUGGUCAUCAAGGUCGUGGAUGACUUUUUGAAGGGGGCAAGCUGUCGGCAUCGAAACUGGCAGAUCUCGGGUAGGGGUUCCAGAACUGUGGAUCUUAGAUAGAUGGGUUGCAGGACAGAUGGGGAGACAAUGUUUACUCAGGUACGGGCCCUCUUGAGGAGGUAAAACCAUACGUCCUUUUUGAUUAUAUCGAUGUGGAUGAUGAUUACAGAGUCUACCUCGAGAUCAUGUAUACUAAACCCUAGGUGAAUCAACCUGUCUACAUGGAUGAGGACCCUCGGUUUAUAUAAUCACUAGGGGACNNNNNNNNNNNNNNNNNNNNNNNNNNNNNNNNNNNNNNNNNNNNNNNNNNNNNNNNNNNNNNNNNNNNNNNNNNNNNNNNNNNNNNNNNNNNNNNNNNNNGCCACCUUAUAUUCCAUGCAUGUCCUAGGGGCUGAGGGACCCUUCUGGACUCCUUUGGAACCUUUUGGAAUUAACCUUCCAGAAGCUUCCCGGUACAACACCGAUAAAACCCGAAACUUUUCCGGUAGCCAAAAUAGGACUUUCCAUAUAUAAACCUUUACCACCGGACCGUUUCGGAGCUCCUCGGGACGUCCAGGUCCUCAUCCGAGACUCCGAACAACAUUCGGUCACCCACGUACAAAUCCUAAUACUACUCUAGUGUCAUUAAGUGUGCACACCCUACGGGUUCGAGAACUAUGCAGACAUGACCGAGACACCUCUACGCUCAAUAACCAAUAGCGGGACCUGGAUGCCCAUAUUGGUUCCUACAUAUUCUAUGAAGAUCUUUACCGGUUGAAUCACGAUGUCAAGGAUUCAAUCAAUCCCGUAUACCAUUCCCUUUGUCCAUCGGUAUGUUACUUGCCCGAGAUUCGAUCGUCGGUAUCCUCAUACCUAGUUCAAUCUUGUUACCAGCAAGUAUCUUUACUCGCUCGAUAAUACAAGAUCCCGUGACUAAGUCCUUAGUCACAUUGCUUGCAAGCUCAUUGUGAUGUUGUAUUACCGAGUGGGCCAGAGAUAUCUAUCCGUCACACGGAGUGACAAAUCCCAGUCUUAUCCAUGCAAACCCAACAGACACCUCCGAAGAUACCUUUAGAGCACCUUUAUAGUCAUCCAGUUAGGCUGUGACGUUUGAUACACACAAGGUAUUACUCCGGUGUCCAGGAGUUGCAUGAUCUCAUGGUCAUAGGAACAAAUACACUGACAUGCAGAAAACAGUAGCAAUAAACUAACACGAUCAUAUGCUACGUUCACAGUUUGGGUCUUGUCCAUCACAUCAUUCUCCUAAUGAUGUCAUCCCGUUAUCAAACGACAUCUCAUGUCUAUGGCCAAGAAACCUGAUAAGUCCAUUUUGCAUCAUGCUUUUAUAUCAAUAUUUAUUGCAUUAUGGGUUGUUAAUACACAUUAUGGUACAAUACUGAUGCCUUUUCUCUUUUAUUUUACAAGGUUUAUAUGAAGAUGGAGAACACCGUCAGUUGGACUUCUCGACUGGAAAAUGAGCAAAUCUGAGAGACCUAUUCUACACAGCUCCAAAAGUCCUGAAAAGUUAUGGAGAAUUUUUUUGGAAUAUAUAAAAAAUAUUGGGCGAAAGAAAUACCGGAGGGGACCCACCGGGAGGUCACAAGCUAGGGGGCGCGGCCUACCUCCCUAGACGCGCUCUGCAGGCUUGUGGGCCCCCUGGUAGGCCUCGGGUGCCCUGAUACGUCCAUUUUGCAUCAUGUUUUCAUGUUGAUAUUUAUCGCUUCUUGGGCUGUUAUUUCACUUCACGGUACAAUACUUAUGCCUUCUCUCUCUUAUUUUGCAAGGUUUACAUGAAGAGGGAGCAAGUUUGAGAUACCUAUUCUGCGCAACUCCAAACGCCGUAAAAAUCAACCAGGAUUUUUUUCGGGAAUUAUAAAAAAUACUGGGCCGAAGAAGUGCCAGAGGGGCGCUAGCAGGUGGCCACAAGCCUGCUAGGCGCGGCCACCCCCUAGCCGCGCCUAGGGGGCUUGUGGGCACCCAGCUGGCCCUCUGGCCCCCCCUCUUGUGCUAUAUGAAGGGUUACGUCCGGAAAAUCAAUCAAGAGGAGGCUUUUUCGAGGAUUCGCCGCCGCCACGAGGCGGAACUUGAGCAGAACCAAUCUAGAGCUCCGACAGGACGAUCCUGCCGGGGGAACUUCCCUCCCGGAGGGGGAAAUCGUCGCCAUCGUCAUCACCAACACUUCUCUCAUCGGAGGGGACUCAUCACCAUCAACAUCUUCAACAGCACCAUCUCAUCUCCAAACCCUAGUUCAUCUCUUGUAACAAAUCUCCAUCUCGCGACUCCGAUUGGUACUUGUAAGGUUGCUAGUAGUGUUAAUUACUAUUUGUAGUUGAUGCUAGUUGGAUUAUUUGGUGGAAGAGUUUAUGUUCAGAUCCUUGAUGCUACUCAUUACCUCUCUGGUCAUGAAUAUGAUUAUGCUUUGUGAGUAGUUACUUUUGCUCCCGAUGACAUAGGAUAAGUCAUGCUAAUAGUAGUCAUGUGAAUUUGGUAUUCGUUCGGUAAUUUGAUGCGUUGUAUGUUGUUUUUCCUCUAGUGGUGUUAUGUGAACGUCGACUACAUAACACUUCACCAUUAUUUGGGCCUAGAGGAAGGCAUUGGGAAGUAGUAAGUAGAUGAUGGGUUGCUAGAGUGACACAAGCUUAAACCCUAGUUUAUGCGUUACUUCGUAAGGGGCUGAUUUGGAUCCACUAGUUUAAUGCUAUGGUUAGACUUUGUCUUAAUUUUUCUUUCAUAGUUGUGGAUGCUUGCGAGAGGGGUUAAUCAUAAGUGGGACAAUGGUCCAAGUAAGGGAAGUACCCAAGCGCCGGUCCACCCACAUAUCAAACUAUCAAAGUAACGAACGCGAAUCAUAUGAACAUGAUGAAAACUAGCAUGAGAGAAAUUCCCGUGUGUCCUCGGGAGAGUUUUUCCUCCUAUAAGACUUUGUCCAGGCUUGUCCCUUGCUACAAAAGGGAAUGGGCCACUUUGCUGCACCGUUGCUACUUUUUUUACUUGUUGCUUGCUACGAAUCAUCUCACCACACAAUCACUUGUUACCGAUAAUUUCAGUACUUGCAGAUAUUACCUUGCUGAAAACCACUUGUGAGAUCCUUCUGCUCCUCAUUGGGUUUGACACUCUUACUUAUCGAAAGGACUACGAUUGAUCCCCUAUACUUGUGGGUCAUCAAGACUCUUUUCUGGCGCCGUUGCCGGGGAGUGAAGCGCCUUUGGUAAGUGGAAAUGGGUAAGGAAACAUUCAUAUAGUGUGCUGAAAUUUAUUGUCACUUGUCACUAUGGAUAUUAAUCCUUUGAGGGGCUUGUUCGGGGUAUCUUCACCUCUAACGGAAGCACAAAGAGUUGCUCCUCAACCUGUUGCACCUACUGAAAAUAUUUGCUUUGAAUUUCCUUCGGGUAUGCUCGAGAAACUGCUGGCUAAUCCUUUUACACGAGAUGGAACAUCACAUCCAAACUUGCAUCUAAUCUAUGUAGAUGAAGUUUCUGGUUUAUUUAAGCUUGCAGGUUUGCCCGAGGAUAAGGUCAAGAAGAAGGUCUUUCCUUUAUCUUUGAAGGAUAAGGCGUUGACAUGGUAUAGGCUAUGUGGUGAUACUGGAUCAUGGGACUACAAUCGGUUGAAAUUGGAAUUUCAUCAAAAGUUUUAUCCUAUGCAUUUAGCACAUCGUGAUCGGAAUUAUAUUUAUAUUUUCUGGCCUCGUGACAGAGAAAGCAUCGCUCAAGCUUGGGGGAGGCUUAAAUCAAUGUUAUAUUCAUGCCCCAAUCAUGAGCUCUCGAGAGAAAUUAUCAUUCAGAACUUCUAUGCUCGGCUUUCUCAUGAUGAUCGCACCAUGCUUGACACUUCUUUUACCAGUUCUUUUAUGAAGAGAGAUAUUGACUUCAAAUGGAAUUUAUUGGAGAGAAUUAAACGCAACUCUGAGGAUUGGGAGAUUGAAGAAGUUAAGGAGUCAAGUAUGAAUUUCAAGUUUGAUUGCGUUAAAUCCUUUGUUGAAACAAAUACUUUUUGUGACUUUAAUGCUAACUAUGGACUUGACUCUGAGAUAGUAGCUUCACUGUGUGAAUCUUUUGCUGCUCAUAUUGAUCUCCCCAAAGAGAAGUGGUUUAAAUAUCAUCCUCCUUUAGAAGUCAAUGUAGUUAAACCCACUCUAGUUGAAGAGAAAGCAUUGCCUAUAAUAAUCAUGUUUUUCCCAGUGCUUACAUUGGGAAACCACCUUUCCCUGUUAGGAUAAAAGGAUCAUUCUAAAGCUUCAACUGUGAUACAUAGAGUCUAUAUUAGAACACCUACACCCCCUGAGCAAAUUAGAGUUGAACCUAGCAUUGCUAUUAUCAAAGAUCUUCUGUUCGACGAUGUUGAGGGACAUAAUAUUUACUUCUGUGAAGAUGCUGCUAGAAUUGGUAAACCUCACGCUAGAGACAAACAUAGGCGUGUUGUUGGCACGCCUAUUGUUUCUGUUAAGAUAGGAGAUCAUUGUUAUCAUGGUUUAUGUGACGUGGGUGCUAGUGUUAGUGCAAUACCUCAAUCCUUAUACGAUGAAAUUAAAGACGAGAUUGCACCUAUUGGGAUAAAGCCUAUUGAUGUCACUAUUCAGCUUGCCAAUAGCGAUACUAUCUGCACUGUGGGAAUUGUUAGGGAUGUUGAAGUCUUGUGUGGUAAAACGAAGUAUCCUGCUGAUUUCCUCGUUCUUGCUACCGCACAAGAUAGCUUUUGUCCCAUCAUAUUUGGCAGACCCUUCCUCAAUACCGUCAAUGCUCAUAUUGACUGUGAGAAGCAAACUGUCACUGUUGGCUUUGAAGGUGUGUCACAUGAGUUCAAUUUCUCCAAGUUUGGUAGACAACCUCAUGAAAAGGAGUUGCCCAGUAACGAUUAAACUAUUGCCCUAGCUUCUAUUUCAUUGCCUCCUACUGAUCCCUUAGAGCAAUACUUUCUUGAGCAUGAAAAUCAUAUGCAUAUGGAUGAAAGGGAUGAGAUAGAUAGAGUUGUCUUAGAACAAUAUCCCAUCCUCAAGAAUAACUUGCCUGUUGAACUGCUUGGGGAUGCACCCCCACCAAAGGGUGAUCCUAUGUUCGAGCUUAAACAGUUGCCUGAUACUCUUAAGUAUGCUUAUCUUGAUGAAAAAGAGAUAUAUCCUGUCAUAAUUAGUGCUAACCACUCAGAGCAUGAAGACAAGAAGUUACUAAAAACUCUGAGGAAGCACCGUGCUGCUAUUGGAUAUACUCUUGAUGAUCUUAAGGGCAUUAGUCCCACUCUAUGCCAACAGAAGAUCAAAAGUAAUCCUAUUUCCAAACCAGUUGCCGAUCAUCAAAGGAGAUUGAAUCCUAAGAUGAAAGAGGUAGUAAGAAAAGAAAUACUAAAGCUCCUGGAAGCGGGUAUUAUCUAUCCUGUUGCUCAUAGAGAUUGGGUGAGUCCGGUGCAUUGCAUCCCUAAGAAGGGAGGCAUUACCGUUGUCCCUAAUGAUAAGGAUGAAUUGAUCCCACAGAGGAUCAUUACUGGCUAUAGGAUGGUGAUCGAUUUUAGGAAAUUGAAUAAAGCCACUAGGAAAGAUCAUUACCCUUUUCCUUUUAUCGAGCAAAUUCUAGAAAGACUAUCUAAACACAGACACUUCUACUUUCUAGACGGUUAUUCUGGUUUCUCCCAAAUACCAGUUGCACAGUCUGAUCAGGAGAAAACCACCUUCACCUGCCCUUUCGGUACCUUUGCUUAUAGACGUAUGCCUUUUGGCUUAUGUAAUUGAAAGUGCAGUCAUGCCCUUAAUCAUGUUUUGGUGUUGCUGACAACACAGAUAUAGAUAAUUAAUCACUAACCCUUUUUGAGCUACUGUGAAUGAUCAUGUGUUGAUAAGGACAAGCUCAUGUGCUAACAAGGACAAGAUCAAGAGAAGCAUUCCUGAGCACUACAUGCUUGAUCCUUGGGGAUGUUCACAUGGUGGACAAAUGAAGAUAAAUAUAUAAGAUAGGCUUUCCACAUUGUGUAUGGGAGAGCUACUUGAAGACUUCAUCAUGUCUUGCUUUCAACAUUGAGCCAAGUAGAAACAACAACAUCAAGCUCAAGUGAAAGGGCUAACUCAAGGUAUCAGUUACUUUGAUGUUUGCGGUGCGGAGUGAUGAUCAGCGAAUAAAAGUACACACUCAAGUAUGGAUCAUCGGUAUCCCUUUUACAAUUCUUGAGUCUUUAGGGAUCCCGCACUAUUAAGAGGGGAUCAUAGGUUUUUGUGAUGAACUUGCUCAAACUAGACAUUCACUAUCCUACUCAAUACCACAUAUUCUCUACUCUGCUCCUAUCUCAUAACAGGUCUAUUGCCUCAGACUUCCGGCUCCCUCCGGACGUCCGUGGGCCGGAUGACCGGCAGGCUUCGGAAAUCUGGAGCCCUCAACCAGAAGAAAUUGAGUUCUAUAACUCGGAUUUCUGGCUCCCUCCGGACAUCCGAGCGCCAGACGUCCAACCAGCUUCGGAAAUCCGGAGCCCUGCACCAGAAGAGCAUAAGCUCUAUAACUCGGAUUUCUGGCUCCCUUCGGACGUCCGAGGCCCGGACGUCCGUCCCCUUUCGGAAAUACGGAACCUCCCACUAGAAGAAGUUGAGUCGAAUAAAUCGGAUUUCCGGUCUUCUCCGGACGUCCGGUCGCUGUUCAUUUCACACGGGUUCCAGUCAUAUCUACAGCCCUCGGACGACCAACCCCUGUCGGACGUCCGACCCCUUGCGGACGCCCGGACUUCCGGAAACUGCCGGACGUCCGGACCCUGUGUGACUUAAAGUGUCCCCAACGGCUGUUUUACACUUCCCACUAUAUAUACCCCUCUCCCACUUCGUGAGAGGGAGCCCAAUACAGCCAUAUCCUCAUAAGAACACAUUUCCACCUCACACACAUUUGCUCGCAUCAAAUCUUAGAUCUCAAGAGCAUUUGUGAGCCCCUUUGAGAGUUGUUCCAAUCAAAAGAUAGUUCGUCUCCCUCUCCUUCUCUCAACCCAAGCUAUUUGAGAUUUGAGAAAGUUUUGAGCAUUUCCCGUGAUCUUGUUACUGUUGGAGGUUGGAGACUCCUAGGCGGUUGGAGUUAUUCGGAGAGGAAUCAAUCCGUGUGAUUACCCCCGGAAAAGUUUGUGAGGGUUUGGAAGCCACCUCAAAGGCUUACCACUAGUGGUUGAGAAACGCCUUCGUGGUGUUAUCUCUAAGGGAGAAUAGGGUGAGCCUUUGUGGCGUUGGUGUGCCUUCGUGGUAACAUCCACCUCUCUAACGGUGACUAGCUUCCCUCCAAGGAAGUGAACAUCGGGAUACAUCUUCGUCUCAGUGACCUUGGUUAUCCUUAACCCUAACUCCUUACUUGUGGUUUACUUGUGUUACUUGAGCAUACAUACAUUGCAUAUUGUUUGUGCUCAUUAUAUUGUGUUGGCUAUUUCUUGUACAAGAUUAAUCAUUCAAACAUACCUUCUAUAUCCACACGUUCAUACUUGCAGCUUUUGAUAUAUUGUGUGAUAUAGUGUGAUCUAGUAUCUUGUGUUGUUCACCUACUUGUCGUGUGAUAUAGCUCAAGUAAGUUUGUGUAACUUACUUGGGCUUGUUAGUAACUGUAUUGUGUCCAUCUUGGUAGAUCGUGUUGUUGAUACACAUUGCAGUGCCUAGUGCAUUUAGGAUUUGUCCUUGACAAGUACCCUGUUAGUUUAUUUCCGCAUUAGUUUCAAGCAAAAUCCGAAGAAGUUUUUAAAUAGCCUAUUCACCCCCACUCUAGGCGUCAUCGAGGUCUUUUCAAUUGGUAUCAGAGCAAGGUCUCUCUUUAGUUAGGUUUCACGACCUAGAGAGUAUCGAUGUCGACUAUUGGAUUAGUGCACAAUGACACCUUUGACUUUGAUGGCACAAAUUAUACCCUAUGGAGAAUUCGUAUGCUUCAUUACUUUCGGGCCAUGCGCCCAAAUACUUUACGAAUUGUUCUUGUAGGGAUUGCCAACAAAAAGAUUGGUGCAUCUUCAUAUACUAAUGAAAUGUAUCUUGAUUGUGAGGCUUUUCUUGCCAUUCAUCGAACCAUAAGUCCUGAAGUGUUUAAGUCUAUCUCGACUUGCAAGUCAGCUCAUGAAGUUUGGACUAAACUUGAAGAUAUAUAUGGUGGGUCCAAUCUUGAUGAAGAUGAUAUUAUGAUGAAGGAGUUGGUGCAUGAGCUCUUCACUCUUUUCGAUCAUAAAGAGUCCACCACUACUUCCAUAUCCGACUGCUUGCACACCUCAGCAUUUUCAAUCUCACAAGGUAACUUUAUGGUGAGUGAAGAAAUACAUGUUGAUGAAAAUGUCAUUGCCUCCAUGGACAUGAGCAUAUCUAGCACCACACAUAGUGUAAACUACUGUGCUGAUAGGUCAUGCAUUUCACCUAAAGAUCCCUCGACAAAUGUUUGUGGUGAUAUGCCUGCUUUCCUGUGUCCUCUUGAUCAAAAUAUCUUGUUUCUCCCUAGUUGUUCUAUGACUAAUCAUUUAGGGGAAACCAAGAAAUAUGAAGUACUUUUGACUAGUGAAGAAUCUGAUUCACCAAAAGAAUCAUCAUCAACUCCUCCAGUUCACAUGUGCCUCAUGGCAAGAGGUAAUAAUGAGGUAUCAUCUUCCCUGUGCAAUAACGAUGAUAUUUGCGAUGAGGAUAAUGAUGAUGACUUGACUGAAAACAUCUAUGUGAUCAGCAAAAUUCUUCAUAAAACUAAAAAUAACGCUCUUCAAAGAUUCCAAGAUAUUCUUGCUUACUUUGAAAAUUAUAAUGAUUCACUUAAUCAUGAACAAGCUAAAAGUGAACAACUUGAACAUGAACUUGAGAAGAGUCACCAAGCAUGUAGAGACUUAAGAUCUUCAAAAGGAGAGAUUAAAAUUGCUCAUGAUAAACUUAAAAAGGAUUUUGAGGUCCUUCUCCUUGAAUGCAAGAGUGUCAAGGGAGAGCUCAUCAAAACCUCUAAGAUCUAUGAGGAGCUUCAAUCUGCUCAUGAGAAGUCUCUAAUCGCUACUUACUCCUCUCAUAUUGUUCAUGAUACUUGUAAACCUAACCCUUUCUCUUUUGAAGUAUCAACAUUGAAGGAGAAUGUUGAGCUACGUGCUCAAUUUGAUUUACUAACUAGCAAUUAUGGGAAGUUGGAAGAAAACCAUGCAAUGCUCACAAGCUCUCAUGCCGAUCUUCUAACAUCCCAUAAUGUGAAAAGUUAGCACAUUAGGCUAUCAUCACCAAGGUAACAUCAAGUGAGACUCAUGUGGACAAUGGAACCACUUCUAAUCAAAGUACUAUAUCUCCAUGUGCCAGAUCUCGUAAUUCAUCUACUCAUAAUGUUGCUACCUCGUGUGAUGAAUUACUUUCCUUGCCUUGUUGCUCUAACAAUGAAACUUACACUUCCUCUAGUACUUUUAUUGACACUAACCGUGUAGAGGAAAUCAAAGAGCUCAAGGCCCAAGUCACUUCUUUGAAGAAAGACUUGGAACAGUGUCAUGAAGGGAUGUCCACACUCAACAGCGUCCUGCGUGAGCAAACAUCUCCGAAUGACAAAAAAUGAUGUUGGAGUAAACUCAAACAAGAACAAGAGUGGCCUAGAAUGAGAUAAGAAUUCGGCCAAAAUCAUUUGCUCCAAGUGCAAAGUUAAAGGGCACCAUGUUAGAUCUUGUCCUCUGAAGACGAAGUCUCAAAGUCACAAGCAACAAGGGAAGCGGCCACAAACUCAAUCACACACUCAGCUACAAGCUGAAGGAAGGCCUCUUCCCAAUAAGACCCAAGCCAACACUCCCCGAGGUGAGAAAUCAACUGGGAAGAAAACAAAGGGUAGAUGUUGCUACUUAUGUCGUGAGAAGGGUCGCGUCGCUUCGUCUUGCACGAGAGGUAACUUAUCCAACCCAAUUACUAUUGAUUAUAGCUAUUCCCUUGGGAAGGAUAAGGUUGGCAAUGUGUUUGCCAAGUUUGUUGGAACUCAAAAUGGUGUCAAGAAAAGAACCAUUUGGGUUGCCAAGCCUAUUGUGCCUAACCUUUUAGGACCCAACGUGGUUGGGGACCAACAAGCUCAAACUUGAUCAAUAGGUGACUCUGGAGAACAUUGGAGACUUGGAUACACAAUGAAGAUUUGAGGACUCUUCAUCAUUCGUAUCAUCUCAAGCCAAGUCACUUGGAUUAUCAAGCCCAUAUCCCAUAUCCAAUGUCGUUACGUAUGUCACAUAGUUGUGUGCAGUCCUGAUCAUUACUUGCAUCCUAGUUGCACCGUUGUGUGGGUCUUUUGCGACGUUAAUGGCUCAUCACAUUAAGGGGGAGUGUUCUGCUCUACGCACACCACUAACCCAAAAUGUGUACAUAUGUGUUGGACUCCAUGUAGUAUUCGGUGCAAGAUUAUCCAAUCAAUUAGUUUGAUGUCAAGGCCAUCCGAAGUUUAAAUUGGCAUCCACCAUCACCUUAGUUGGAUGAUUGAUUUCCUUGUGUGAUAAAUACAUGGAUUAUCACAUUAUGUGAGGAUGAUAUGCUUUGUGCAUGUCAUGUCCCCUGGUAAGACAAAACAUCCGAUGUAUGCCACUCAGAAUCCACCACAUGUGGUUAUCCUAUAACUGUGUGGUGUGUCAUGCUACACAUAUCUUAAUUCGCAUAAUAAGCCUUGUUGGUAUCUAAAUUCCUUAGAUGUGCGUGAGUAUAAUGUCCUACUACACCAAUGCUCAUGGCUUAGCCGCUAGAUCGUAUCUAAAAGAAGGGCAUUGUUGAUGCAUGCCUUUCGAAUUAAUCCUCCACACUAUGAUCUAACUAAUUGGGAUGUUAACGUAUGUCAUCUAAACAUUAUGCUUAUGGUUGAACUCCCAUAUCACACUUGUGUGAGUAUGAAAUGAUCCUUGUGCUCGUUGGCACCUACCACCACUGAUAACUCUAAAUGUCAUGUGUUCUCUCACACAUGGUAUCUUUGGCUUGGUAGUGUUUUUCAUGGUCACUUUAUUUCGGCUCUAUCUUCAGUUGGCCUACAUAACGUGCCGAGAAAUUCAUGUGUCUCCCGGUAGAGCUCGCACUACUUAUUUCAUAAUUUUUUGGGAAUUAUAAUCAUAUUACCUACACCUAUUAAUUAACUAGGGUGAGACAUGCAUGUAAGGUUGUGCAAAAUGCAUGCCUUACAUGGCUUGAUGCCUUGGCUAGUUCAUGCGUUGAACUUGGGGUGCUACCAUGUGUUGAUUUGUCACCCUUAUCCAUUUUGGAUGACAUGAAUGUUCUGUAAUAGAAAAUUAUGUGUUCAUUUGUCCAAAUUGUAUAUCCUUGGAUUUUGAUAGGAUUGUGUAAGCAUAUCUACUAUGUGUAGAUGCACAUGCCGUGUCUAUCGUAUCUUUGAUCCAAUAUAUGUAUAUGGUAAGUUAGACGUAUUCAUUAAAAAGGUUAGGGUGUGCUUGAAAGUAAAACUUAUAUCUAUAUGCACAUAAUUGAGUGAUCUUACCCUAUAUAUAUAUUGUAGUUGGACUAACUACUUCGGACCCAAUAAGUUUGGGGACCAUAUUGUGCUUAAUUGGUGGUUUAGGUACUUUGGAGAAGCAUUGCUAUUUUGACUUAUUCUCAGAAAAAGAUGGUGCUAGUCACGAAGAAAUUAGAGUCAAGAUAGGACUCGGCUACUUCUACGUCAUACCAAUGCUUUUCCGGUAACAAGUAUUUACUUCAUGCGUGUACAAUAUCAGAGUCAACACUGUGUAGGUUGCAUCAUGGCAUGAACAUAAUACUUUUUCCACUUUGUAAUUUCCUGCAUGUCCUUGUCAAUCACAUAGAUGAAAUGCUUAGUGUUGGUGUUCUCUUAGCUUUUCAUGGUCAUAUGAAUGAGACAAAUUUGUGCCAUGACCCUUGUGUCAUGUGCCUUGCUCUUAUAAGAUGAUAACUUGUGCAUGAUUCUAUGCACUCAUGCGUUUGACGUAUUUUGGACCCACAUUUAUCGUAGUAAUCAUAUUAAAAGACUUACAUCAGACCAUGUCCAAAAUAUGUUAGUUGAGAGGUCUCUUUGGCUGCUACACAUGCGAGAAUACUUAGUAUCACCUCAUCAUAAAAUAAAAAUUCCAGAAUCAGUUUCUGCCUCCUCCUCUCUCUCUCUCUCUCGGUCGUCCGACUUGUCUCGGAUGUCUGGCGGCAAAUCUCCUUCCGGUCGUCCGACCAGUGUCGGUCGUCCGGGGGCACAAUCCUCUCCGAACGUCCGACGCAUGUCGGACGUCCGACGCAUCGGGGCCUAUAAAUAGCUGGGCGCGGGGUUGGGCUUUGCCCUAGCCCUCACGCGCCCCCUUUUUCCCCUGCCGCCGCGGCCAGCUCCAGGAGCUCUCGCCAGCGCCGCCACUCCCGAGAUCUGCCCGAUCUCCUCCGCGGAUCCUUCUCUUCUUCCUCUUCUUCCUCCGCGGGAUCCAUCUAUAGGUAGUUCCUCCGUUCCCCUCGCAUUUGGUUCCCGCUCUCCCAAGUCCACAUGUUCGUUCCUAUGGUUUGACCAUGUUCGUUCCUUAUUUGGGAUUUCCAUCCAGGUAGGAUAUUGUGCACCAUGCCCAAGAAUAAGCACGCCGCUCGGAAGAACGUUGCUGGCUCAUCCUCUCGCGCCCCUACUAGCAUGGGGGUCGGACUCGGACGGGCACGUCGUCCUUUCAAACGGACUGCCCCGGCGUUCUCCAUCUCCACAACUCCCCUCGUCGUCUGAUGGUGAUGACUCCGACUUCGAGGAUGAACUUGCCGCCGAGGACCUUGCUGACCAGCCCGCCGAUCGAAGGUCCAAGCCAAAGCACGGGACUCGCAGGGCGUCCUACAUGCCACCACCUCCUCCAGCUCAGCCCGCAGGUGAAGCUCGUCGCAUCUCACUAGAACCCCCUGCUACCUUAGGUCGUGCAAUCACGAACUUCACCACACUUGCCAAGUCGUCAUACCUCACUUUCCGCCGCGACAUUGAUCAAUACGAUGUCAUACGUGACUCUACGGACUCACGUUUCCACACACACGUCCAGGCGGACAUUUUUACUACAGUCAUAGUUCCUAAGGGUUUAUCUGUUCAUCUCUAUAUAGAUCUUGAGCAUAUUCGCAUGCACCCAACGAACUAGCCGGGUGCCAUUGAGCUUAUUGAGGCAUUGGGGCUUGCCGCCCCGUUUUCUUUUCAUCGCGAUAUUAAUGCUGCUGCCAUUCACCAGUUCUAUGCCACAUGCUACUUUGCUCCAAACCACACUGUCAGCUGGAUCACCUCUGACGUUCGCUUCACAGCUUCUUAUGAUACAUUUGUUGCCGCACUUGGUUUCCCCAACUCCGGCUUCAAAAUACAUAGGAAUGAUCCUAACCAUGCACCUAAGUCCAUUUAGGCGUGUGGGUAUCUUCUUAAACCUCUCAGUGAGCUUGAUGCGGAUGAACGCAUGAAGGAUCUUAACCAGGUAUCCAUCUGGCGCUCACCUUACUUCAUCAUCUUUCAGUGUCUCAUCCGCACCAUCUAUCCCAAGAUGGGUGAUAAGGGCUCUUGCAGUGGCUAUUGUAUUGACAUCAUGUCUCACUUGUACGAGCACCCCAAGAGCAAAAUUAAUGUGCCUCACUUUCUAUGGCAUGAGAUUCGGCUUGGUAUCUUUCAGUACAAGCGAGCCUUUCCUCAUGCCCCCUUCAUCCAGGCUCUUAUUAAUCAUGUUGCUGAUUUCUCUGUUGCUGUCACUCACACACAUCGCAAGUGGGUCAUUCCCGCUCACAUGGCAGAUAACUAUGCUCCCAAGAAAGCCCCAUCCUCCACAUCCACUCGCCGCACUUCUGCCCGGUCAGCCACCCCCUCAUCUAGCUCCGCUCCGCUCGGCCGCUUUGCCAAAUUCCUUGGCAAGGCACAUUCUGCUAUGAUCAAGGCCGUCUCUUUCCACUGUGGUGAAACCAAUGAUGUGGUUUCUCGCUUAGUCUCCUCCAAGAAUGCCCUCAAGGCUCGUCUGAGAGCCUCGGGCACUCUUGAUGUGAGUGAUGAUGAGCCCCCUGCUGCUGCUCCUCCUUCUGACUUUGGCUUCCCAUCUGGUCCGGAGUGGGCUGAUUUCCUUGACGAGGCUGGUGGCAGUGGUCUGCCUGAUGAUGAGGAUGAUGAUGUUGAGGAUGAUCCCUCAUUAAUGAUGAUAUUCAUGAGGGUGAUCCUUGAGUAUGUGAUAGCAUUGCCGUUUUCCCCUCCUUUUUUGUCCUUGAUGCCAAAGGGGGAGAACAUUAUCUUAUCUUAGUUUUCGAUUUUAGUUCCUCUCACAAUGUAUGGUAUGAUGUAUUAUGUCGAACUUAAUGAUGUAUCAUCAUGUAACGAUACUUAUGGAUGGUGUGCUAUGCCAUCACCUAUGGAUGAUGUAUUGUUGAACUAUCAUGUGGACUUUAUGCUAUCCUAUUGAUUCAUAUGAUAUGCUAUGUAUUGUUGAACUAUUAUGGUGUUAUAUCAUGCUAUUAUCUUCAAUGCACACAUUAUGGGGGGAGAUCCCGCACUUACCUAUUUUACUACGCAUAUAAUAAGGGGGAGCUUCAUAAGCAUCGUAACAAAACUCUCCUAAGCCACACAUGUCUAUUACUAUUGUUGAGAGCUAUAUGUAUGUUGUCAUCAACUACCAAAAAGGGGGAGAUUGAAAGUGCAGUCAUGCCCUUAAUCAUGUUUUUGUGUUGCUGACAACACACAUAUAGAUAAUUAACCACUAACCCUUUUUGAGCUACUAUGAAUGAUCAUGUGUUGAUAAGGACAAGCUCAUGUGCUAACAAGGACAAGAUCAAGAUAAGCAUUCCUGAGCACUACAUGCUUGAUCCUUGUGGAUGUUCACAUGGUGGACAAAUGAAGAUAAAUAUAUAAGCUAGGCUUUCCACAUUGUGUAUGAGAGAGCUACUUGAAGACUUCAUCAUGUCUUGCUUUCAACAUUGAGCCAAGUAGAAACAACAACAUCAAGCUCAAGUGAAAGGGCUAACUAAAGGUAUCAGUUACUUUGAUGUUAGCGGUGCGGAGUGAUGAUCAACGAAUAAAAGUACACACUCAAGUAUGGAUCAUCGGUAUCCCUUUUACAAUUCUUGAGUCUUUAGGGAUCCCACACUAUUAAGAGGGGACCACAAGUUUUUGUGAUGAACUUGCUCAAACUAGAUAUUCACUAUCCUACUCAAUACCACAUAUUCUCUACUCUGCUCCUAUCUCAUAACAGGUCUAUUGCCUCGGACUUCCGGCUCCCUCCGGACGUCCGUGGGCCGGACGACCGGCAGGCUUCGGAAAUUCGGAGCCCUCAACCAGAAGAAAUUGAGUUCUAUAACUCGGAUUUCCGGCUCCCUCCGGACAUCCGAGCGCCGGACGUCCGACCAGCUUCGGAAAUCCGGAGCCCUGCACCAGAAGAACAUAAGCUCUAUAACUCGGAUUUUCGGCUCCCUCCGGACGUCCGAGGCCCGGACGUCCGUCCCCUUUCGGAAAUCCGGAACCUCCCACCAGAAGAAGUUGAGUCGAAUAAGUCGGAUUUCCGGUCUUCUCCGGACGUCCGGUCGAUGUUCAUUUCACACGGCUUCCAGUCAUAUCUCAGCCCUCGGACGACCGACCCCUGUCGGACGUCCGACCCCUUGCGGACGCCCGGACUUCCGGAAACUGCCGGACGUCCGGACCCUGUGUGACUUAAAGUGUCCCCAACGGCUGUUUUACACUCCCCACUAUAUAUACCCCUCUCCCACUUCGUGAGAGGGAACCCAAUACAACCAUAUCCUUAUAAGAACACAUUUCCACCUCACACACAUUUGAUCACAUCAAAUCUUAGAUCCCGAGAGCAUUUGUGAGGCCCUUUGAUAGUUGUUCCAAUCAAAAGAUAGAUCGUCUCCCUCUCCUUCUCUCAACCGAAGCUAUUUGAGAUUUGAGCAAGUUUUGAGCAUUUCCCGUGAUCUUGUUACUGUUGGAGGUUGGAGACUCCUAGGCGGUUGGAGUUAUUCGGAGAGGAAUCAAUCCGUGUGAUUACCCCCAGAAAAGUUUGUGAGGGUUUGGAAGCCACCUCAAAGGCUUACCACUAGUGGUUGAGAAACGCCUUCGUGGUGUUAUCUCAAAGGGAGAAUAGGGUGCGGGCCUCCCCCUGGCCGCGCCUGGGGGCUUGUGGCCACCUCGUGUGCCUCCCGGACUCCGUUUUCAUGCGGAGUACUCCUUCAGGUCUGGAAAAAAACAUUAUAUAUUCUCCCGUAAGGUCUGACCCUUGUAUCACGCAGAUUUCCUCUGUUUUCGUUUCGAGCCUGUUUCUGUUGCAGAUCUAGAUCGCUAUGACCUCCCCAAAAGCUCCGAAGGACAAGAUCUUCGAGAAGGUCAUCAAUACCUACCUCACGGGAGUGCUGCAACACCCUCAAUAUAUCGAGAUGUGUGAGGGGAUGUUGCACAUCCGUGAUAUUGAGGGGCCCAAGAAGACCGGAAGCAUGGAGACGAGGCUGGAAGCAAUGGAGCAACAAGUCUUCAAGUGCCAAGGGAUGGUGGAGAGUGGACUCAACGCCAACCACAUGAUGAUCACACAGUACACCAACAAGCACAUGAUUGAUGCCAAUGACAUUGGAAAGCACCUCUCCAGGCUCUAUGACAGGAUUGAUCAACUCCAGGCCCAGAUCUCCGACCUGCAGAACCAAAACUGUGAGUAUUAGUAUAGAUUUAAAUCAAUACGGUUGGCUGCAGAUUUGAGGAUUCCAAAGACUCGUUCAUCUUUCCAUUAUGGAGCACCUAGGCCUUGGAAGACGGAUGAUCAAGCCCAUGUCGCAACAACUCCACCACCAUCACCUCCAAAGGAAGACAACUAAACAUGGGUAUGGGCAAUCCCCUUGGCUUGUGCCAAGCUUGGGGGAGUUGCCCCGGUAUCGUAUCACCAUCACAUCUUUUGCCUUUACCUUUGUUUUAUUUUGUUCCUUUUAAGUUUUCUCUUACUCUAGUAGAAUAAAAGUCUUAGUGUUUAGUCUUGAGUUUUGCUUUGUGUCACCCCCGAUGUAUUCAAGCUCGUGAGCUUUAUAAUAAAGAGUGUCUUAGUUGAAGGGCUUUGCCUCUUGCCAUGAUCAAAAGAGUGAGAAAAGAACAAAAGCAUGAAAGAUCAUGUAAUGAUCAUAUGGGAAGUGAUGGCUUCACAUAUAAAAAGAAUGAUGAUUGAAACUUGUUAAGGGUAGACAAACAUAGACCUUGGUCAUUGUUGCAAUUAAUAGGAAGUGAUAAAGAAGGAGAGGUUCACAUAUAAAUAUAUCAUCUUUGACGCCAUCUAUGAUUGUGAACACUCACUAAACUAUUACAUGCCUAGAAGUAGAUGUUGGACAAGGAAGACAACAUAAUGAAUUGUGUUUGUUUGGUUCUGAACAAUGUUAUAUGAUUAGAGAUCCCUUAGCAUGUGACGAUUGCUUCCACCUCAUAUUAGCCAAAAACUCCCGCACCAAGUAGAGAUACUACUUGUGCAUCCAUAAACCUUCAACCCAGUUUUGCCAUGAGAGUCCACCAUACCUACCUAUGGAUUGAAUAAGAUCCCUCAAGUAAGUUGUCAUCGGUGCAAGCAAUAAAAAUUGCUCUGUAAUAUGUAUGAUCUAUUAGUGUGUGGAAAAUAAGCUUUGUACGAACCUGUGAUGAGGAAGACAUAAAAGCGAUAGACUGCAUAAUAAAGUUCUUUAUCACAGGAGGCAAUAUAAAGUGACGUUCCUCCGCACUAAGAGGACACGCAUCCAAACCUCAAAGCGCAUGACAACCUCUGCUUCCCUCUGCGAAGGGCCUAUCUUGUACCUUUACUUUUUGCCGUUGAAAGAGUCAUGGUGAUCUUCACCAAUUCCUUAUCUCGCCUUUAUCUUGGCUAAUGUCAUAUGCUUGGGAAAGAUCUAUAUUCAUAUGUCAACUUGGAAGUAAGUAUUCAUGAAUUAUUAUUGUUGACAUUAACCUUGAGGUAAGCAGUUGGGAGGCAAAACUAUAAGCCCCUAUCUUUCUCUGUGUCCAGCUGAAUCUUUAAUCUCAUGAAUACCACGUGAGUUGUAGCAAUUGUAGAGAACGAAAGGAUGAUUGAGUAUGUGGAUUUGCUUUACAAGCUGUUAUUUGACUCUUUCUGAUGUUGUGAUAAAUUGCAAUUGCUUCAAUGACUACACGCUAUCGGUUGUUACUUCUCGGUAAGGUUCUUGAUCCAUGCUUUACUUUGUGAAGGAAUUAUCACUUUUAGCAUGAGAGAUUAUAUGUUGGUAUUGCUGUUCUGAUCAUGAUCAUGAUGCAUGCAUGUUUGUAUCUUGUUUUGUUGACACCUCUCUCCCUAAACAUGUGGACAUAUUUAUUGAGCUAGGCUUUCGCUUGAGGACAAGCGAGAUCUAAGCUUGGGGGAGUUGAUACGUCCAUUUUGCAUCACGUUUUCAUGUUGAUAUUUAUCGCUUCUUGGGUUGUUAUUUCACUUCAUGGUACAAUACUUAUGCCUUUUAUCUCUUAUUUUGUAAGGUUUACAUGAAGAGGGAGAAUGCCGCCAGCUGGAAUUCUUGCCUGAAAAAGGAGCGAGUUUGAGAUACCUAUUCUGCGCAACUCCAAACGCCGUAAAAAAUCAACGAGGUUUUUUUUCGGGAAUUAUAAAAAAUAUUGGGUCGAAGAAGUGCCACAGGGGCGCUAGCACGUGGCCACAAGCCUGCUAGGCGCGACCACCCCCCUGGCCGCACCUAGGGGGCUUGUGGGCACCCAGCUGGCCCUCUGCCCCCCUCUUCUGCUAUAUGAAGGGUUUCGUCCGGAAAAAAAUCAAGAGGAGGCUUUUUCGAGGAUUCGCCGCCGCCACGAGGCGGAACUUGAGCAUAACCAAUCUAGAGCUCCGGCAGGAUGAUCCUGCAGGGGAACUUCCCUCCCAGAGGGGGAAAUCGUCGCCAUCGUCAUCACCAACACUUCUCUCAUCGGAGGGGACUCAUCACCAUCAACAUCUUCAUCAGCACCAUCUCAUCUCCAAACCCUAGUUCAUCUCUUGUAACCAAUCUCCGUCUCGCGACUCCGGUUGGUACUUGUAAGGUUGCUAGUAGUGUUAAUUACUCUUUGUAGUUGAUGCUAGUUGGAUUAUUUGGUGGAAGAGUUUAUGUUCAGAUCCUUGAUGCUACUCAUUACCUCUCUGGUCAUGAAUAUGAUUAUGCUUUGUGAGUAGUUACUUUUGUUCCGGAGGACAUGGGAUAAGUCAUGCUAAUAGUAGUCAUGUGAAUUUGGUAUUCGUUCGCUAAUUUGCUGUGUUGUAUGUUGUUUUUCUUCUAGUGGUGUUAUGUGAACGUCGACUACAUAACACUUCACCAUUAUUUGGGCCUAGAGGAAGGCAUUGGGAAGUAGUAAGUAGAUGAUGGGUUGCUAGCGUGAUAGAAGCUUAAACCCUAGUUUAUGCGUUACUUCGUAAGGGGCUGAUUUGGAUCCACUAGUUUAAUGCUAUGGUUAGACUUUGUCUUAAUUCUUCUUUCGUAGUUGCGGAUGCUUGCGAGAGGGGUUAAUCAUAAGUGGGAUACUUGUCCAAGUAAGGGCCGUACCCAAGCACUGGUCCACCCACAUAUCAAACUAUCAAAGUAACGAACGUGAAUCAUAUGAACAUGAUGAAAACUAGCAUGACAGAAAUUCCCAUGUGUCCUCGGGAGCGUGUUUCCUCCUAUAAGACUUUGUCCAGGCUUGUCCCUUGCUACAAAAGGGAUUGGGCCACUUUGUUGCACCGUUGCUAGUUUUGUUACUUGUUGCUUGCUACGAAUCAUCUCACCACACAAUGUUACCGAUAAUUUUAGUGCUUGCAGAUAUUACCUUGCUAAAAACCACUUGUCAGAUUGUCAGGAGGAUAACCCCGGGGCAGGCUCAUCAUGCCUAUUCCUUCAUUUCCGUCCCAAUGGACAUGAAUGUAUGCAGAUUCUCAAGGCCCAAGUCUUUUGGCCGGCUAGGCAUCACCUACAGGCUAGAGGACGAGGCGUCCAUCUUUCUGGCCGGCAAGGCAACCCUUGCCGGCUAGAAUCAAGGCGGCCUCCUCUUYUGCGCUGGCCGGGUCCCGCYAGCCGGACUAGGGAGGAGGCGGCCGCACUUAAGCUGGCUAACCAAGCAGGCUAGCCGGCCGAGGAUCACAGGUCACAUCAGAUCGUAGGUCAAGAUAAGACCUCAUGAUUAAAGGUAGCUACGUGUGAGCAAAGGUACUGGAUCGGGGCGCCCGGCAGGUACGAGCGUCGGCGGCCACACCGCUAACCUACCCCAGCUCUGAUCCAUCACCUAGCAUAGUGUCGGACCGUCACACUCCCACUCCGUUACUGCACUCAGCGUGGGGAACAGUGGAGGCGGCCUUACUACCUGCCCAUGAAGAAUCUCGCGGGGCGACGCUUGACGUACAACGCGUGCUCGGUGUCAACCUUACGCGAGAGCCUCAUUGGCCAGCCGGCGGGUCCCACAGGCAAUCGAGACCAUGCAGCCGGCGGGCCCCCCAGCGACAAGACAAGACUCUUGUGGGCCCCUGGCCAGCCGGCGAGGCUGCCAGCCGGGUCCCACACUUGUACCCUUUAUCCAUAUUGUAGGCCGGCGGGUUCGUCUAUAAAACCCCCCGGUCACCCUCCAUGCAGGGGGGACGAUCAUUCACCAGUCAUUCAACACAACACAUUCACCACCCACAGAGAGAGAGAGGCACAGACGAGCCGGUUUCUCCCCUCUUCCUCCUCCCAACACAGCUCCAGGAGCGACAUUGUACUCUAUUCAUACACAUCAAACACUCCGGCAGGAUUAGGCGUAUUAUCUCUACGGAGAGCCCUGAACCUGGGUACAUCGUGCGUCCCAUGCGUGUACCAACCUCGUUCCCAGCGUCCACCUUUGUCCCUUCGGUUCUCACCAACUUUAGCCUACCUAUGGCAUAUGUUGUGAGUAUUCACCGACAUAGAUCCUUCUGCUCCUCGUUGGGUUCGACACUCUUACUUAUCGAAAGGACUACGAUUGAUCCCCUAUACUUUUGGGUCAUCAUGCCCAUGUUCCGAUAUAUGAUGGGUUUUGACCUAGGAAAAAAAUCAAGAGAGAGCUUUCGAGACGAAGCGCCGCCGACUCGAGGUGGAACUUCGACAGAACCAAUAUAGAGCUCGGGCGGAGCUAUUCCGUUGGGGAAACUUCCCUCCUGGAUGGUGAAAUUGAAGCCAUCAUCAUCACCAACGAUCCUCUCAUCAAGAGGGGGUCAAUCUUCAUCGACAUCUUCAGCAGCACCUUAUCCUCUCCAAACCCUAGUUCAUCUCUUGUAUCCGAUCUUUGUCACAAAACCUCAUAUUUGUACCUGUGGGUUGCUAGUAGUGUUGAUUACUCCUUGUAGUUGAUGCUAGUUGGUUUAUUUGGUGGAAGAUUAUAUGUUCAGAUCCUUAAUGAUUAUUAAUAUUGCUCUGAUUAUGAACAUGAAUAUGCUUAGUGAGUAGUUAUGUUUGUUCCUGAGGACAUGGGAUAAGUCUUGUUAUAAGCAAUCAUGUGAAUUUGGUAUGCGUUCGAUAUUUUGAUAAGAUGUAUGUUGUCUCUCCUCUAGUGGUGUCAUGUGAACAUCGGCUACAUGACACUUCACCAUUAUUUGGGCCUAGGGGAAGGCAUUGGGAAGUAUUAAGUAGAUGAUGGGUUGCUAGAGUGACACAAGCUUAAACCCUAGUUUAUGCGUUGCUUUGUAAGGGGCUGAUUUGGAUCCAUAUGUUUCAUGUUAUGGUUAAAUUUAUCUUAAUUCUUCUUUCGUAGUUGCGGAUGCUUGCGAGGGAGGUUAAUCAUAAGUGGGAUGUUUGCCCAAGUAAGGUCAGAACCCAAGCACUGGUCCACCCACAUAUCAAAUUAUCAAAGUAACGAACAUGAAUCAUAUGAGCAUGAUGAAAACUAGCUUGACAUAAACUCCCAUGUGUCCUCGGGAGCGCUUUUCUUUAUAUAAGAGUUUGUUGAGGCUUGUACUUUGCUAUAAAAAGGAUUGGGCCACUUUGUUGCACCAUUUUUACAUUUGUUACUUGCUACCCGCUAUGAAUUACCUUAUCACAAAACUAUCUGUUACCGAUAAUUUUAGUGCUUGCAUAGAAUACCUUACUGAAUAACGCUUGUCAUUUCCUUCUGCUCCUCGUUGGGUUCGACACUCUUACUUAUCGAAAGGACUAUGAUAGAUCACCUACACUUGUGAGUCAUCAAGACUCUUUUCUAGCAUCAUUGCCGGGGAGUGAAGCACCUUUGGUGAGUGGAAGUUGGUAAGGAAAAUUUUAUAUAUUGUGUUGAAAUUUACUGUCACUUUUUCGCUAUCGAAAAUAAUCCUUUGAGUGGCUUGUUCGGGGGUAUCUUCACCCCGACCGGAAACACAAAGAGAUGCUCCUCAACCUGUUGCAUCUCCUUAAAAUAUUUAUUAUGAAAUUUCAUCGGGUAUGAUAGAAAAACUUCUAGCUAAUCCUUAUGCAGGAGAUGGAACACUACAUCCUGAUUUGCAUCAAAUCUAUGUGGAUGAGGUUUGUGGAUUAUUUAAGCUUGGAGGUAUGCCCAAGGAUGAAGUCAAGAAGAAGGUAUUUUCUUUAUCUUUGAAGGAAAAGGCGUUGACAUGGUAUAGGCUAUGUGAUGAUAUUGGAUCAUGGAAUUACAACCGAAUGAAAUUGGAAUUUCAUCAGAAGUUUUAUCCUAUGCAUCUAGUUUAUCGUGAUCGGAGUUAUAUUUAUAAUUUUUGGCCUCGUGAAGGAGAAAGAAUCGCUCAAGCUUGGGGAGGCUUAAGUUAAUGUUAUAUUCAUGCCCCAAUCAUGAGCUCCCGAGAGAAAUUAUUAUUCAGAAUUUUUAUGCUCGGGUCUCCCGUAAUGAUCAAUCCAUGCUCGACACUUCUUGUGCUGGUUCCUUUAUGAAGAAAGAUAUUGAAUUCAAAUGUGACUUAUUGUAAAGAAUUAAACGCAAAUCUGAAGAUUGGGAACUCGACGAAGGUAAUGAGUCAGGUAUAAGCCUUAAGUUUGAUUGUGUUAGUCCUUUAUAGACACCGAUGCUUUUCGUGAUUUUAGCACUAAAUAUGGACUUGACUAUGAGGUAGUAGCUUCAUUCUAUGGAUCUUUUGCUACUCAUGUUGAUCUCCCCAAGGAGAAGUGGUUUAAAUAUCAUCCUCCCAUUGAAGUUAAAGUGGUUGAACCUAUUAAAAGUUGAAGAAUAAACUAUUAUUUAUAAUGUUGAUCCUAUUAUUCCUACUGCUUAUAUUGAGAAACCACCCUUUCCUACUAGAAUAAAGGAUCAUGCCAAAGCUUCAAUUGUGGUUCGUAAGAGUUGUACUAGAACACCUAUACCUCGUGAACAAAUUAAAGUUGAACCUAAUAUUGCUAUGGUUAAAGAUCUCUUGGUUGAUAAUAUUCAUGGACAUGUCAUUCAUUUCUGUGAUGAAGCUGCUAGAAUUGCUAGACGUGAUAUUAAAGGUAAACAUAGACCUACUGUUGGCGUGCCUCUUGUUACUGUUAAAAUAGGAGAUCAUUGUUAUCAUGGCUAAUGUGAUGUGGGUGCUAGUGUGAGUGCGAUUCCCUUUACCUUAUACCAAUAAAUUAUGAAUGAUAUUGCACGAGCCGAAUUGGAGGAAAUUGAUGUUACCAUCAAGCUUGCUAAUAGAGAUACUAUUGCACCAAUUGGAUUGUUAGAGAUGUUGAACUCUUGUGCGUGAAAAUAAAGUAUCCUACUGAUUUUCUUGUUGUUGGUUCCCCACAAGAUGAAUUUUACCCCAUUAUAUUCGGUAGACUCUUCUUGAAUACUGUUAAUGCUAAGAUUGAUUGUAAAAAAAUGGUUACCGUAAGUUUUGGGGAUGCAUCUCAUGAGUUCAAUUUCUCUAAAUUUUGUAGACAACCCCAUGACAAAGAAUUUCCUAGCAAAGAUGAAAUUAUUGGUCUCACUUCUAUCGCUGUGCCUCCUACCGAUCCCUUAGAACAAUAUUUGCUAGACCAUGAAAAUGAUAUGUAUCUGAAUGAACAGAAUGAAAUAGAUAAGGUUUUCUUUGAUCGGCAGCCUAUUCUAAAACAUAACCUGCGUGUUGAAAUAGUCGGGGAUCCUCCUCCACCCAAGGGUGAUCCCGUGUUUGAGCUUAAACAAUUACUUGAUACUCUGAAGUAUGCCUAUCUUGAUGAAAAGGAGAUAUAUCCUGUUAUUAUUAGUGCCAACCUUUCAGAGCAUGAAGAAAAGAGAUUAUUGAAAACUCUCAGGAAGCACCGUGCCUCUAUUGGAAUACUCUUGAUGAUCUUAAGGGCAUUAGUCCCACUCUAUGUCAGCACAAAAUCAAUAUGGAGCCUGAUGCUAAAGCAGUUGUUAAACCAACGAUGAUUAAAUCCUAAAAUGAAGGAAGUGGUAAGAAAUGAAAUACUAAAGCUUCUGGAGACAGGUAUAAUUUACCCAAUUGUUCAUAGUAGAUGGGUUAGCCCUAUUCAUUGUGUCCCUAAAAAGGGAGGUAUUACCAUUGUUCCAAAUGAUAAAGAUGAAUUGAUCCCGAAAGAAUCGUUGCAGGAUAUAGAAUGGUAAUUGAUUUCAGGAAAUUAAAUAAGGCUACUAGGAAAGAUCAUUAUCCGCUACUUUUUACUGAUCAAAUGCUAGAAAUACUAUCCAAUCAUACACAUUUUUGCUUUCUAGAUGGUUAUUCUAGCUUCUCUCAAAUACCUGUAUCAAAAGAGGAUCAAGAGAAGACCACUUUUACUUGCCCUUUCGGUAACUUUGCUUAUAGACGUAUGCCUUCCGGUUUAUGCAAUGCACCUACUACCUUUCAAAGAUGUAUGAUGGCUAUAUUCUCUCACUUUUGUGAAAAGAUUGUUGAGGUUUUCAUGGAUGAUUUUCCGUUUAUGGAACUUCUUUUGAUGAUUGCGUGAGCAACCUUGAUCGAGUUUUGCAAAGAUGUGAAGAAACUAAUAUUGUCUUGAAUUGGGAGAAUUGCCAGUUUAUGGUUAAUGAAGGCACUGUCUUGGUAUACAAAAUCUCCAAAAGAGGUAUUGAAGUUGAUAAAGCUAAAGUUGAUGCUAUUGAAAAAAUAUCGUGUCCAAUAGAUAUCAAAGGUAUAAGAAGUUCCUUGGUCAUGCUGGUUUCUAUAGAAGAUUUAUUAAAGACUUAUCUAAGAUUUCUAAGCCUCUCACUAAUCUUUUGCAGAAGGAUGUUCCAUUCGUUUUUGGUGAUGAUUGUGUAGAAGCAUUUGAAAUUCUUAAUAGAGCCUUGAUCACUGCACCUGUUGUUCAACGACCUGAUUGGAACCUACCCUUUAAAAUUAUGUGUGAUGCUAGUGAUUAUGUUGUUGGUGUUGUUCUAGGACAAAGAGUUGAUAAGAAAUUAAAUGUCAUCCUUUACGCAAGUAAAACUCUAGACAGUGCUCAAAGAAACUACACUACCAUUGAAAAGGAAUUUUUAGCAGUUGUGUUUCUUGCGAUAAGUUUAGACCUUAUAUUGUUGAUUCCAAAGUAACUAUUCACAUUGAUCACACUGCUAUUAAGUACCUUAUGGAAAAGAAAGGUGCUAAACCUAGACUUAUUAAAUGGGUUCUUCUUCUACAAGAAUUUGAUCUGCAUAUUAUUGAUAGAAAGGGCGCUGAUAAACCCGUAGCAGAUAAAUUGUCUAGAUUCGAGAAUGUUCUUGAUGAACCACUACCUAUUUAUGAUAGCUUCCCUGAUGAACAAUUAGUGUCAUAAAUGCUUCACGUAAUGCUCCUUGGUAUGAUGAUUAUGCUAACUACAUCGUUGCUAAAUUUAUACCGCCUAGCUUCACAUACCAGCAAAAGAAAAAGUUCUUCUAUGAUUUAAGACAUUACUUUUGUGACGAUCCACACAUUUAUAAAGAAGGAGUAGAUGGUAUUAUUAGACGUUGUGUACCUGAGAAUGAACAGGGACAAAUCCUACACAAGUGUCACUCCGAGGCCUACGGAGGACACCACGCUGCAGAGAGAACUGCACACAAGGUAUUACAAUCUUCUUUUUAUUGGCCCACUCUCUUCAAGGAUGCUCGUAAGUUUGUAUUGUCUUGUGAUGAAUGUCAAAGAAUUUAUAAUAUUAGUAGACGUCAGGAAAUGCCUAUGAAAUACUCUCUAUUUAUUGAACCAUUUGAUGUUUGGGGUUUUGAUUAUAUGGGACCUUUUCCAAAAUCCAAUGGGUAUACUCAUAUUCUAGUUGUUGUUGAUUAUGUUACUAAGUGGGUGGAAGCUAUUCCAACUAGUAGUGUACUGUCAGCUGUGCUUCCCCGGCAACGGCACUAGAAAUACUUCUGAUGUCAGCUAUGCUUCCCUGGCAACGGCGCCAGAAAUGCUUCUGCUACAGAAACAAAAGACCUUCCAACGGCGCCAGAAAUUGUCGUGUCGACGGCACCAGGAAUCCUUCAGUUGCGGCUACGCCUUAAGGGACUUCCUAGGCAAGUAUGCAAAGGAUUUCCCCCGUGGCCUUGGAGCCUUGCGUUGGUGUUCCCUCGAAGCGGAAAGGGUGAUGUAGCACAGCGGUGGUAAGUAUUUCCCUCAGUUUGAGAACCAAGGUAUCAAUCCAGUGGAGGAGUAUCACAAGAUCCUGCACAAACACAAAAGCUUGCUCCCAACGCUAUGAAGGGGUUGUCAAUCCCUUAUAGAUUGUUUGCCAAGUGAGAACUUAAAGCAACAAAGUAACAAAGCAAAGUAAAAGCGGAGGUGUAAACGAUGGAUGUAAAUAGACCCCGGGGCCGUAGUGUUUACUAGUGGCUUCUCUCAUGAAAGCAUGUAGACGGUGGGUGAACAAAUUACUGUCGAGCAAUUGAUAGAACCGCGGAAAGUCGUGACGAUAUCUAUGCAAUGAUUAUAUCUAUAGGAAUCACGUCCAAAACAAGUAGACCGAUACUGUCUGCAUCUACUACUAUUACUCCACACGUCGACCACUAUCCAGCAUGCAUCUUGUGUAUUAAGUCCAUAAGAACAGAGUAACGCCUUAAGCAAGAUGACAUGAUGUAGAGGGAUAAUCUCAAACCAAUGAUAAAACCCCCAUCUUUUUACCCUUUAUGGCAACUACUUGAUGUGUGCCUUGCUGCCCCUACCGUCACUGGGAAAGGUCACCACAUGGUAGAACCCAAAACCAAGCACUUCUCCCAUUGCAAGAAUCAUAGAUCUAGUUGGCCAAACAAAACCCAAGACUCGGAGAGACUUACAAGGAUAUCAAAUCAUGCAUCUAAGAAAUCAGCAAAGACUCAAAUAUAUAUCAUAGAUAGUCUGACCACAAAUCCACAAUUCAUCGAAUCUCGACAAACACACCGCCAAAGAAGAUUACAUCGGAUAGAUCUCCAUGAAGAUCAUGGAGAACUUUUUAUUGAAGAUCCAAGAGAGAUAAAAAGCCAUCUAGCUACUAACUAAGGAAACGUAUGUCUGAAGUGAACUACUCACGAGUCAUUGGAGGGGCGGCCAGAGAGGCCACAAGCCUGCCCACCGCCGCCUCCCCCUGGUGGUGGAGUGGGGGCUUGUGGGCUCCUUGGAGCCCACCUGUCUUGGCCCAAAGGCCCCCUGAUCUUCUUCCGUUCGGGAAAAAAAUCAUUUCGAGGUUUUUCUUCCAUUUGGACUCCGUUCCAAAAUCAGAUAUGAAAAGAGUCGAAAACACAGAAAAAACAGGAACUGGCACUUGGCACUGAAUUAAUAAGUUAGUCCCAAAAAAGAUAUGAAAGGUACAUAAAACAACCAAAGAAGACAAGAUAACAGCGGGAAACCAUAAAAAAUUAUAGAUACGUUUGACACGUAUCAUAGUGCAGAUCAUAACACUUCUAUUAAAAUGUUGAAAGAAGUUAUUUUCCCUAGAUUUGGAGUCCCUAGAUAUUUAAUGAUUGAUGCUUGUUCACACUUUAUUCAUGAUGUUUUCGGUAAAUUGCUUGCUAGGUAUGAUGUUAAUCAUACAAUUGCAUCUCCUUAUCAUCCUCGGUCUAGUGGGUAAGUAGAAUUGAGUAAUAGUGAAAAAAUGAUCUUGCAAAAGACCGUUAAUAGAUCUAGAAAGAAUUGGUCUAAGAAACUUGACAAUGCAUUAUGGGCUUAUAGAACCGCUUACAAAAACCCUAUGGGUAUGUCUCCGUAUAAAAUGGUUUAUGGUAAAGCAUGUCACUUACCUCUAGAGCUAGAAUAUAAAGCUUAUUGGGCAAUUGAAGAGCUUAAUUAUGAUUUCAAACUUACUGGUGAGAAGAGGUUAUUUGACAUUAGUUCACUUCAUGAAUGGAGAACCCAGGCCUAUGAGAAUGCCAAGUUGUUUAAAGGAAAGGUUAAGAGAUGGCAUGAUAGAAGGAUACAAAAGCGUGAAUUCAAUGUAGGUGAUCAUGUCUUGCUAUACAACUCUCGUUUAAGAUUUUUUGCAGGAAAACUUAUCUCUAAAUGGGAAGUGCCUUACAUUAUCAAGGAAGUAUAUCGUUCCGGUGCCAUCAAGAUCAACAACGCCAAAGGCACAAAUCUGAAAGUGCUGAAUGGACAAAGAAUCAACAUUAUAUCUCAAGUACUCCCAUAAAUGUUGGAACUAAUAUUAUCAAUACUAUAACUCUGGAAGAGUACAUUAGGGAGACCUAUCAGAACGCUUCAGACUCCGAAAAGGAAUAGUUAUGUGUUACGUAAGCAAACCGACUCCAAAACAUUUCCAAUGGAAAUUUUUAUCAGUUUUGGAAUAUUUAAAAAAUUAGGAAAAUUUAAAGCAGAAUGAAGCAUGCACGAGGAGGCGACAAGCCACGAGGAUGUGACCUACCCCCUUCAGCGUGCCCUGCAGGCUUGUGGCCACCCCGUGCACCCUCCGGACUAUGUUUUCUUGUGGAAUACUCCUUCGGGUCGGAAAAAAGUCAUUAUAUAAUCUCCCGAAGGUUUUGACCUCCGUGUCAUGACAAUAUUUCUUGUUUUUGUUUCGAGCUGUUUCUGUAACAGAUUUAGAUCAGCAUGACGUCUUCAAGUACUCGGAAGUACAAGUUCUUUGAGAGGGUCAUCAAACCCUACCUUGAGGAGGUGCUGCAACACCCUCAAACCAUUGAGAUACCUGAGGGGUUGCGGCACAUCCGUGAUGUUGAAGGGCCAAAGAAAACCGGAAGCGUGGAGACAAGGCUCGAAGCAAUGGAGCAACAAGUCUUCAAGUGCCAAGGGAUGGUGGAACAAGGACUUAGUGCCAAUCACCCGAUGAUCGCGGAGUUUACCCAGUAGCAAAAGCUAGACGCCAAGGACCUCUCGGAUCACGUCUUCAAGAUUUAUGAGAAAAUCGAGCACCUGUCGGGACCCCGAUCCUAAGCCAUAGGAAUCAAGCCUGUAACACAUCGCAUCCCUUUGCGGUCUCAUGCACGGUUAACCCCACGGCUGCAGCCUUACCUUAGCCGGGACCGUUUGCGCCUUUUGACUCACGUAUGCAAUUAUGUCGCUAGCAUUCCAAUGACAAAGAACCCGGAUCGACAUGUCUAGUCAUAAACCAAAGUGGCAGUUCCGCACAGGGACAGGCAUACAUGACCCAGCAAAGCAGGUGUCGGUCACCAGCGAAUGUAGACGAGUCGUAGCAAGCUACAAGGACUCCAUUACAUCGCGUGACAUUUCCCCAAAGAGGACAGACACAGCAGCUAUGAAGGACACAUACCGGUCAACCAAUGUGUCUGGAGCAGUAGCGAGCUACCAUGGCUCGUUGGAUCACAAAGGGGCAUUUCCCUGUAAGGAGUGCUACUAAAGUUUACGGCUAGGUAAUCGAACCCCAUACAUAUCAAGUACGACACAUGUACGCAUGGCAUACCGAUAUGUAUAGAUACAUCGAUGGCAUCACAACAUAACCAUAAACAUACAAGCUUUAUUUAAGAGGCUCGGAAAAGCCACACACAUAAUAUUACACAGUAAGGGUCUCACGACCCAUCAUAGUAGACAUUCAGUUACAAGCCAGCGGAAGUGUUUCAAACUGUCUGAGUACAGACAGGUGAGACUAGAAGGCACAUGGCCUGACUAUACUACAGACCCAACCUAGGGCUAGAUCGUAGCUGGGACACCAACUACUCGUCGUCGUCGAUGUCUAGGAAGAACCCUCCGUUAGGGUCAUUAACAACCUCUGCAAAAAUUAUUAAACAAACAUGAGUACGGAGGUACUCAACAAGACUUUAGGAUAACUAUCUACUCAUGCAAUGUAUCAAUAAGGAAUUGUGGGGUUUCAUGCAGAAAGCCAGCAUUUGACUCGUGGCUAGACAACUUACAUUUUUAAAACAAUUUUUUUUACAACUUGAUUUCUCGCACACGAGUCCACUAACACCACAACAAUACUCCAUCAUGGAAUCAUUCCGUCUCCCUACGGAAAUGUCGUCCAUGACACUCACGCUUAUCUUGACAAUUUUAUGAGUAGCCAUUUAAGUUAUCUAUGAACAACAUAUGUCUCCAAGUAGUCCAUAUCCGCGGACGCGGCUAUUCGAAUAGAUCAUAACCCUGCAGGGGUGUACUUCGUCACACACGCUCUCGCCACUUAUCGCCAUGUGCACGUCAUGCACCUCGGCAACCUUCAAGCGGAAGCCCAGCGAGGGAGUCGGCCACGACCGUUAAUCACACUAGUACCUAGUCCAGGUUUAUCGCCUAUCUGAGAGUAACCCGCACGGAAGUCCGGCCGAGGUUUCUGCCACGGCCUCAAACGAUGUGCGCAGGGUUCCCAAGCCCACCAUCCGGGUGCCACUUGGUACACCGUGCCACUGCCUACCGCAUCACAGCCCACCUCUCAGGUCAGCGCUAUGCACGGCCUCCAGCAUGACUAUAAACACCAGAAACUACUUGCAACUCCUGGACCGAGUACUAAGCGAUUAAUAAGUCGAGAGGGUCAAUUAAGUAUCCCAACGUGUGGUAGUAUCUAGUCUUGGAUUACAUACAUGGAACUCAGUUCCUAAGGACGGUUCCAAUGAAACAACCCGCCAUGUACUCCUACAUAGCCUUUCACCGGUACCUUUACCAAAUCAGGUUCAACACAUCGCCUUUACUUACUGAAUGCAUUCUCACAAUUCUGUUCAUCUCCCAGAUGACAGACCAAACACAACUCUAAGCAUAGCAUGUAUAGCAGGAUAAGGCACAUCAUGGCUCAAGCAACUACCAAGUAUGCUAGGUUGCAAGGUUCAGCUAUUUACUGUGACAAGGAUAGGUCAUGCAAAGGAAGUGGGUUCAACUAACGUGGCAAAAGCAUUUGAAGCAUUUGAUCCUAAUGCAAUAAGUAAGUGCAGGAGCGAGAACAUGGGAUUUAUCGGGAUGAUCAAAAUGGUUGCUUGCCUUGUUGCUCAGAGGAUGGACAAUAUCCGUCAAUUGGAUAUUCGGUGGAAUCCGUAGGAGCGGAGCCUACCAAAAAGAGUGACAACAAUCAAUCACAAGCAUAUGCAACAAGAUGAUGCAUGAGCAUGGCAUGAGGAUGCAAAGUGGUAUACUAUUAUAGCUAACAUUUAUUAGGUUUGAAGUUGAUUUGAAUCAAAUUCAAAUAUUACUUCAAACGAGGUAUUCUGGGAUACCAUUUUAAUUGAUUCGACCUGAUGCUCAGAUCAACUUGCUUUUAACAUGCAUGGAGUGACAUGUUAGGCUGCUGGUUUGCGAUUUGGAUAGUGUUUGAUCAUAUAAUUUGUAGUGAAAUUUAAAUAAUUUCCAAAUUCCAUCUCCAAAGUAUUUAUAAGAAUUAACUUAUUAAUUAAUAUACAUGUUUGGGUUCAGUAACAUUUUCAAACAUGUUUGAAAAUGACAUAUUCAGAUUCCUUGAAUUUUUCUGAUACUUUUUCAUAUAUAAAUUAUUUUCAUUGGACUUACAGAUUAUUUUCUAUAAUUUUUAGAAGUUUUAGACAUUUCUGGAAUUAUUUUUAUAUUAAAAAAUCACUUUAUUGCGUCACAGUGACGUCACUGGUCAACAGAGACUCACCAGGUCAAACCUGAACAGUGGGGUCCACUGGUCAGUGACCAGGGACUAAUCCCCGAGUUGACCAGCCCCUAACUGGGGUUUGACCCACCCUGGGGCCCACUGUUAGUGGCUAGGGGAGGUGUUUAGUGGGUAAUUAGGUUGACCACGUCGGCCCCUACCGGAAUAUGGCCGGCGGCGACCACGGGCGCGGCGGAGGUCUCGCCGGAGUUGACCUAAACGGCACUACAGGCAUCGGUUUUGGGCGCGGUUUAGUGCUACGGCUAGCUAGUGAAGUGCCGCAUCUAAAGGGGGAGGAGCUGGACCCAGUGGUCACCGGAAUCCACGCCGGCGACGAGGUCAGCGGCGGCUGCGGCUCGAGCAUCGUCGGGAGUGCCGUUGUGGGGCACUAGCGAGCUGGGAGAGGGGCCCUACGGCAUCUACAGAGCUCCAGGAGCUCAUUUCUGAGCUCGGUCUCGCGAGCGGGGUACCACAACGACGGCAACGACAUGGCCGGCGACGAGGACCUUCGGGCUCUGGUGGCUAACGGGGUUAGAGGAGGGGAAAGGCCUCGGGAAGAGGGGGGACGGAAAGAGGAGCUCACGGCAGAUCUUGUGAGGCUGCCGGCAGGGUCGGGGAGGACCAGGAGGCGAUGGAUCGACGGCGACCGGAGCUUCGGGGAGAGAGAGAUCUGAGAGGGGAAAGGGGAACCAGAGGCCGAGGGGAGGAGAUAAGGCCGCGGGGAGGAGGAGAAGUAGGCUCGGGGCGUCGCGCUGGCGCUCCUGGGGGCCUCCAGCGGUGAGUAGGCAGGCAGGAGGUGGCCGGGGCUUGGCCGCCGUGCUCAUCUUCUCCUGUGCCUACUGGCAGGAGGAGGAAGAUGACCAGGGAGCCCCUGGUGGGCUGGGCCGGCGACAGGUAACAGGUAAGCCUCUCUUUUCACUUUUCCUUCUAUUUUGUUUCUGUUUUAUUUACUGACAUUGUUUCUCAUUUAUUUUGGCUUCACAUACAAACUAUAAAUAGUUUGAAAAAUGCUCGGGUGUUUAGUUGGAACAUUUCCAAUCACCCAUAAAGUUUUCAGCAUUUUUGAAAGCUAUAUUUCUUUGAAUUCAAAUUUAAAACUUGAAACCAGUAGUCUUUUGCAUUUAUUUAAAAUGCCAAAAGUAUUAAGGAAAUGGUUUCCUUCAUUGCUUAUUUGUUUUCAAGAAUUAUCAGAAAAGUUGAACUUUUCUUGAGGCCAUUUUGGGUUCAUUGAUUUGAAUAAGUUUAUAAUUCCUUUGAAUUUGAGAAGUGGCUAGGGUUUUUGAGUUUCCCUUCACCACUUACUUUGAUCUUGUUGCCAUUUUCUUGGAUGCAAUGCAAAGAAAAUAUGAGCACAAUGCUAAACCUUGGUUAGGGUUCCAGGGAUGUGACAGCACCUCCAAUCCCAGAUCUAUGACGUGCAAAACCAAAACUGUGAGUAUGAAUACAGAUUUAAGAAAAUGAGUUUGGUUGCACGCUUGAGGAUCCCAGAGACUAGUUCAUAUUUUCACGAUGGUGAGCCCAUUCCUUGGAAGAUGGAGGACAAACCUUCAACCUCACCAACAACUCCAACAUCACUACCUCUAAAUAAAUACAACUAAACACAUGGGUACGGGCACUCCCCUUGGCUUGUGCCAAGCUUGGGGGAGGUGCCCUGGUAUCGUAUCACCAUCACACCUUUUACUUUCUUCGUUUUUCUUUGUUCGAUCCUUUUGGUUAUAUCUUGAUCUAGUAGAAUAAAGUUUUAGUGUGAUCUAGUUUUAGUUUUCUUUUUGUUCCCCCUAUGUAAGCAAUUCCAGAGUUAUAUAAUAAAGAGAAGUUUUGAGUCGAGGGCUUUGCUUGCUUGCUAUCUUCUUGAGAAAAAGAAAUAGAAAUAAGUAUAUAAUAAAAGCAAAAGAGCAUAAAUAAUGAUCUUAUGGGGAGUGAUGACUUCACAUAUAAAAAGUAUGUCGAUUGAAAUUUGUAGUGAGUUGACAAACAAAGCUAUUGGUCAUUGUUGCAAUUAAAACGAAGUAAUAAAGAAAGAGAGGUUCACGUAUAAAUAUAUUAUCUUGGACAUCUUUUAUGAUUGUGAGCACUCAUUCAAAUAUUAUAUGUUAAAAGGAUGAUGUUGGACAAGGAAGACAACAUAAUGAGUUAUGUUUGCUUAUUUCCGAAUAGAAGUUAUAUGGUUGUAGAUCCUUCAACAUGUGUCGCUUGCUUCCACCUCAUAUUAGCCAGAAACUCCUGCACCAAGUAGGGAUACUACUUGUGCAUCCAAAAACCUUUAACCUAGUUUUGCCUUGAGAGUCCACCAUACCUACCUAUGGAUUGAGUAAGAUCCUUCAAGUAAGUUGUCACCGGUGCAAGCAAUAAAAAAUGCUCUUUAAAUAUGUGUGAUUUAUUAGUGCGAGGAAAAUAAACUUUAUACGAACUUGUGAUAUAGAAGAAAUAAAAGCGACAGACUGCAUAAUAAAGUUCUUUAUCACAAGGGGCAAUAUAAAGUGACGUUCUUUUGCAUUAAGGGAUUGUGCAUCCAACUAUUAAAGUGCAUGACACCCUCUGCUUCCCUCUGCGAAGGGCCUAUCUGUUACCUUUACUUUCUAGUGCUUACCUUUAUGUAAGAGUCGUGGUGAUCUUCACCAUUUCCUUUAUUUUGCCUUUAUCUUUUGGCAAGCGUCAUGUGUUGGGGAAUGGUCUAGACAAAUAUAUCCACUCGGAUGUGGGGGAUCAUGUUGACAUUACCCUUGAGGUAAAUAGUUGGGUUGCAAAAUUAUAAGCCCUAUCUUUCUCUGUGUCCGAUUGAAGCUUUGACCUCAUAUGUACCACAUGAGUGUUACCAAUUAUGAAAGAACAUAAGAUGAUUGAGUAUGAGGAUUUGAUUUGCAAGCUCUUAUAUUGACUCUUUCCUACGUUGCGAUAAAUUGGAAUUGCUUCAAUGACUGAAAUCAUAAUUUGUUAGUUCUUAAUAGAGUUCUUGAUUCAUAUUUUACCUUGUGAAUGAAUUGUUACUCUAGCAUAAGAUAUUCUAUGUCAAUAUGUGUUGUUGUUCUAAAGAUAACCAUGAUGCCUUCAUGUCCGUAUUUUAUAUUUAUUUACACCUCUAACUCUAAACAUGUGGGCAUAUUUAUCGAUCUUGGCUUUCGCUUGAGGACAAGCGAGGUCUAAGCUUGGGGGAGUUGAUACGUCCAUUUUGCAUCAUGAUUUAUAUCAAUAUUUAUUGCAUCAUGGUAUGUUAAUACACAUUAUGGUACAAUACUUAUGUCUUUUCUGUCUUAUUUUACAAGGUUUACAUGAAGAGGGAGAAUGCUGGCAGCUGGAAUUCUGGACUAGAAAAUGAGAAAAUCUGAGAGACCUAUUAUGCACAACUCCAAAAGUCCUGAAAAGUUAUGGAGAAUUGUUUUGGAAUAUAUAAAAAAUAUUGGGUGAAAGAAAUACUGGAGCGGACCCACGAGGAGGUCACAAGCGAGGGGCGCGUCCUACCCCCCUGGUCGCGCCCUGUAGGCUUGUGGGCCCCCUGGCAGGCCUCCGGUGCCCAUCUUCCGCUAUAUGAAGGGUUUUGACCUGGAAAAAAUCAAGAGAGAGAUUUCGGGAUGAAGCACCGCCGUCUCAAGGCAGAACUUCGACAUAACCAAUCUAGAACUUCGGCGGAGCUAUUCCAUCGGGGAAACUUCCCUCCUGGAGGGGGAAAUCGAAGCCAUCGUCAUCUCCAACAAUCCUCUCAUCGACAGUGGGUCAAUCUUCAUCAACAUCUUUAUCAGCACCAUCUCCUCUCCAAACCCUAGUUCAUCUCUUAUAUCCGAUCUUUGUCUCAAAACCUCAUAUUGGUACCUGUUGGUUGCCAGUAGUGUUGAUUACUCCUUGUAGUUGAUGCUAGUUGGUUUAUUUGGUGGAGGAUCAUAUGUUCAGAUCCUUAAUGAUUAUUAAUACUCCUCUGAUUAUGAACAUGAAUAUGCUUUGUGAGUAGUUAUGUUUGUUCCUGAGGACAAGGGAUAAGUCUUGUUAUAAGUAAUCAUGUGAAUUUGGUAUUCAUUCGAUAUUUUGAUAAGAUGUAUGUUGUCUCUCCUCUAGUGGUGUCAUGUGAAUGUCGACUAGAUGACACUUAACCAUUAUUUGGGCCUAGGGGAAGGCAUUGGGAAGUAAUAUGUAGAUGAUGGGUUGCUAGAGUGACAGAAGCUUAAACCCUAGUUUAUGUGUUGAUUCGUAAGGGGCUGAUUUGGAUCCAUAUGUUUCAUGUUAUGGUUAGAUUUAUCUUAAUUAUUCUUCCGUAGUUUCCUAUACUUGCAAGAGAGGUUAAUCAUAAGUGGUAUGCUUUUCCAAGUAAGGGAAGCACCCAAGCACCGGUCCACCCACUUAUCAAAUUAUCAAAGUAACGAACGCGAAUCAUAUGAGCAUGAUGAAAACUAGCUUGACAUAGAUUCCCAUGUGUCCUCAGGAGCGCUUUUCUUUAUAUAAGAGUUUGUUCAGUCUUGUCCUUUGCUAUAAAAAGGAUUGGGCCACUUUGCUGCACCAUUGUUACAUUUGUUACUUGCUACCUGCUAGAAUUACCUUAUCACAAAACUAUGUGUUACCGAGAAUUUCAGUGCUUGCAGAGAAUACCUUACUGAAAACCGCUUGUCAUUUCCUUCUACUCCUCGUUGGGUUUGACACUCUUACUUAUCGAAAGGACUACGAUAGAUCCCCUACACUUGUGGGUCAUCAAAACCUUGACCAUCUUUGAUCAACGAGCUAGUCCUUCAGAGGCUCACUAGGGACAGUGUGUUGUCUAUGUAUCCACAUAUGUAUUUGAGUUUCCAAUCAAUACAAAUCUAGCAUGGAUAAUAAAUGAUUAUCAUGAACUAGGAAAUAUAAUAAUAACCAAUUUAUUAUUGCCUCUAGGGCAUAUUUCCAACAUUGCACCCAUAAGACAUAUGCUCCUUGGCUUGUGUACGGCUAAGUAACGACCACGUACGGAUCUAGGCAGUUGCCCUAUGGAUGACCUAUAAAAGUUUGUGAUAGUAUGCCUAUUAAAAAUAACGACAUUCGUGCAAUUCCAAAUGGCCCAAAACAAUGCACAUACUCCAACUAGAAUAUGUGCCACUAGCUUAGGCUCUAUCCCAUUUAGCCAACUCCCAAAAAGGGUGUCAAUGUUAUCGGGAGGGCUGACGUUAAAAGCUACAUGGAGCGUACGCCACAGUAGCUUCGCGAGGGGACAACCAAUAAAGAGAUGUUGUUGACUCAUCUCUAUCACACAAAUAGAACUAUUUACUAUUCUCCCAAUUGCGUUUUGUGAGAUUAUCUUUCGCGAGAAUCACCUGUUUGUGAACAAGCCACAUGAAUUUUUUUAUGUUGAGUGGAUCCUUUAUUUUCCAAAUAUGUAGAGAGUUUGGAAUUAGCCCAGUGUUUAUCAUGUCCGUAUACAUAGAAUUCACUGAGUAUACCCCUGACACUGAAAGUUUCCAACAGAGUGUAUCUGGUUCAUCACAGGUUAAUCUGCAUCAACCUAUACUCACAAGAUGUAACCAUCUAUCCCAUCUGACUCCUAAUAUUGUACUCACCAAAUCCUCUUUUUGUUGUACUCUGUGGUACCAAGAAGGAUACUGCAUGGCCAUCGAUGUGUCCCCUAACCAUGUAUCCUCCCAGAACCUAGUCGAAGUACCACUCCCUACUCUGAAUUUGGUCAUGUUGAAAAAUGAUACCUUAGUCCUCAUGAGAACCUUACAGAACGGCGAAUCUGUCAGUUGCACUGUCACUUGUGCAAGUGUUUUGAAGUGUAGAUACUUGUUACACAACAAUUGUACCCAUACUCCAUCCUCCUCAACAUAAAGUCUGUAGAACCAUUUACUAAGUAAGCAUGUGUUCUUCACCUCAAGAUUUUGGUGUGCAGAUGAUAUCCUAGUUUGCCAACUGAUAUUUGGUUUUAGUCUCAUCACUUCUCCAAAAGAACCAUGAUCGAUAGAAGUCUAAUAUUUUUUGUACCCAUACGGGUACUUGAAAGAAAGACAGUAGGAACAUAGGCAUGCUAGUAAGAACAUAGUUAAUGAGUAUGAGCCGUUCUUGGUAAGACAUAAGUUUGCCCUUCCAGCAGCUUAGUUUUUUCUCCAAUCGAUCUUCUAUGCAUUUCCAUUCUUUAUUGUCGAGAUUUCGGUGGUGAAUUGGGAUCCCUAGAUAUAUAAAUGGGAGUUUUCCCAACUCACAACCAAACAACCGUGUCUAAUUAUCCUCAUCUUCUUUGGCGCAUCCAAAGCAGAGUAAUUCACUUUUAUUAAAAUUAAUUUUAAUACCAGACAUUUGUUCGAAGAGACAUAAAACCAACUUCAUGUUUCUAGCCUUUGCCAUGUCAUGUUCUAUGAAAAUAAUAGUGUCAUAUGCAUACUGUAGGAUAAACACCCCACCGUCAACUAUGUGUUGUAUGAGUUUACUAACUUCACCACCCUCUUUAGCCCUACCAAUUAGGACCGCCAGUAUGUCAACGACAAUAUUAAAAAGGGUUGGAGACAUUGGAUCACCUUGCCUCAACCGCUUUUUAGUUGGAAAAUAACUACCUAUGUCAUGAUUCACUUUUAUCCCAACGCUAUCUUUUUCUACAAAGGAUUAAACCUGCUUCAUCCAGGCCUCAUUAAAUCCCUUCAUAUGUAAGACUUGUUGUAAGAAUGGCCAUUUGACUUUACCAUGCACCUUUUCGAAAUCUACCUUAGAAACUACACCGUCUAGUUUCUUUGAGUGGAUUUUGUGUAAAGUUUUGUGUAGAACUACAACACCCUCUAGGAUAUGUCGUCCCGGCAUGAAGGCGGUCUGAGUUGGUUGCACCACCGCAUGUGCGAUACGUGUGAGCCUAUUUGUUUCAACCUUCGUAAAAAAAUUGAAGCUCACAUUGAGCAGACAUAUCGGUCUGAACUACUCGAUGCGGAUCGCCUCCUGUUUUUUUGGCAACACCAUUAUUGUCCUCAAGUUGAGGUGGAAUAAAUUUAGUUGACCAUUAUAUAGAACAAGGAACACAGGUAGAAGAUCAUCUUUGAUUGUUUCCGAACACCGCUUGUAGAAGUCAGCUGGGAAACCAUCCAGACCUGACGCUUUGUUAUUUUUCAUUUGUAUGAUCACCUCGAACACCUCCUUGAUGAACGGGCCGAUAAAAUCUCAUUUUCUUCUGAACCCUCCUACGGCAAAUCCGCAAUCAUAUGCUCAUCAAAUCAUAUGAUUCUGCUCAGGUGGUCCAAAAAGUUUCUUGUAAUAUUCAGUGAUGUACAAUUUUAAGUUCUAAUGUCCUAAAAUUGUGCCUUCGUUUUACUCAAGUUGGAUAAUUCUCUUUUUCCUAUGUUUCACAUUAAUAAUCAAAUGAAAAAAUUGGGUAUUAUUGUGACCCUCAAUUACUUGUCUAACCUUUGCUAUGAGAGUCCACUUCAUUUAUUCUUCUCUAGGAAGUUUCUGCAGUCUCUCCCCAGCCUCACUCUUGGCCCUUCGGUCUGAAGUGGCCAACAUGUGGGCCCCAACCUUAAAACCUAGAUCAUUAAUAAUUGACAAGAGUCAUUGUUUUUCAUCUUUAUAGAUUCCACCUUCGUUCCUGGCCCAACCCUACAAGAACUGUCUCAAGUCACGAAUCUUACAAUGCCAUUUUUCAAUAUUUGACGUACCUCGAUUUUCUCUCACCAAUUCUGUAGCAAAUUGAGGAAACCUUCUCUUUGGAACCACGCUGUUUCAAAAAAUAAUAUAUUUCUGUUGCUAAUAUGGGUCGACUCUCGUGAGUCAACGAGAAUUUGAGUAUAAUCAGAGAGCGCCCUAUGUAAUACCCACAAUGGUACUACAUGAAAUUUCUACUCCCAUUCAACACCGGCUAGAACUCGGUCCAACUUCUCAUAAGUUGGAUUAGGUAAGUUAUUCGCCGAUGUAAAUUGUAUUCCCUUGAGAUCAAUCUCUCAUAGGUCAAGACUUUCAAUAAUAGCGUUGAACAUGAAUAAUCAUAUCCUGUCAAAAUUAUCAUUGUUUUUCUCCUCUCUCCUUCUGAUGAUAUUAAAAUUACCUUCGACUAGGAUUGGUAACAUUUCAUCGCCACAGAUCCUCACUAAUCUGCAAGAAAAUCAGAUUUGAAAUUAGGUUGUGCAGCUCCAUAAACUGCAAUGAGAGGCCAUCGAGAGCAUCAACUUACUUAACAUGAAAUUUGACUCAUAGUCCCUCCUAAAAACAUUGCUUACUUUGAGAGUCUCACAACUGACUCUAAGCAAGAUCCCACUGGACCUCCCUCUAGGUGGUAAACAAUGCCAAGCAAAGUCAAAGGCACCCGAAACUGUUCCCUGUAACUACAAGGUAAAGUUAUCUCUGCCCAUCCCUAGUAACGCCAUAAAGUCCAGUUUUUGCUUAUUAGAAAUUUCCACCAAAAACCUCAUUUUAGCCAAGUCUUUAAGACCUCUGCUAUUCCAAAAUAUUCCUCUCAUUUUUCAUCAUGGAAUUUAUAUUUGAAUCUGACCCUCGCACUAUGACACACCACAAACGUUGGGCAAAUCUUUCUAGUCCACUUCUGUUUUGAUUUUUCCAACAAGACAAAUUGGUCCGCAUGAUCGAAGUGUGGUGGUGUGUUUUCUAUUGGAUGCAUGGGCAACGCAUGCGCCCCCUUCUCCAUAUAUGGCUCUUGAAUUAAAUCAUUAUAUUGCAGUGGUUGUGGUGUUUUUAGAGGUGACACAUACUCCUCUACCUCCACCGCCCCAGCCCCAAGUACGCUAGUUGGGACUAAGUCUUCACAUGAAAAUUCUAGCAAUCUGACCCCUAACUCAUUAACCUCAUUUUCAUGCAUCGGAGUUACUCACGCAAUGUAUUUUAUCAUGUUCAUCACUUGCUCAGCCUCUAGGUUAAGUAAAUCAUUAAUAGAUUUAGACACCUCCACCAGUAGACCCAAGUGACACCCCCUUAUUUGCAUUAUUGAUAAUGCCAUUACAAUACCUGAUCAGGAUAAUAUUGUGUUCAAAAAAGAGGAUUUGGUGGCUUAUAUUCUUGGGCUAGCCCUUUGAACAUUCAAUCUGCAAAAAGAGGAUUCCGUGGCUUAGGUUCCUUGCAAGAUCAAAGUUUUCAUGUGAUUUUUGCCAACGGAGGUAGUUCUUACAAAAGAUAAUCUUGCUAAGCGUAAUUGGCAUGGCAGUAAAAAAAUAUCAUUUUGUGAUUAGGAGGAGACAAUUCAUCAUUUAUUUUUUUCAUGUCCGUUUACUACCUUGAUUUGGCGCACGAUUCUUGUUGCCUACAAUUUAGCGCCACCAAAAAGCAUUCCAAAUCUGUUUGAGAACUUGUUGGGUGUUAUUCAUCAUAAGCAGAAGGGCCAAAUUCCUGUGGGAGUUUGUGUCACUCUAUGGGAAAUAUGGACUUGCCGGAAGAGGUGUGUUUUUAAGAGAUCAUUUAUUCCUGAUUUCUUGCAGGUUAUCUACAGGACUACGGCACCAAUCCAUAUGUGGUCAUCACAUAAGCACAUGGAGACGCGGGCGUUUAUGGCCUCUUGGUGCAAUCGGCUGAAAUGGUUGCAUACGGCUUAUUCAACCAAUUUGGCUGGCGAUCCACUCAUAGAUUAUGUGGAUGUGCUAUAUAAUCUCGGUUCCAACUGGUUGUGGUAGUGUUACCUUCUAUUUUUAUUUUUGUCUUCAAGCAUCAAUAAUACUCCUUUUUCUCUAUUAUAUGAUGGCAUCAGGCUAAUUCUUUUUUCAAUGAACAACUACAAUGUGCAACACGAAACAUAGACCGGGACCUGAUGAUGGUGCUCCCGAGGCAAUGAGCUAGAACUGGGCUCACGUGCGAGCAUAGUUUGAGAAACUUAGCGAUCCUUCAAGUGCAUUGUGUCAAAAGAUUGUCGUGGUCCUGCUCUUCUACACUGCCCAAAAGAGACAAUAGACGACCAUGUUGUCAAUUCCAAACGGGAGCUCAUGUAGAGGAGCAGCAAAAGCAUGUCACAUAUGCUCUAAUGUGGUUGUACGAACAGCGUCUAUGCCAGCAAUGAUAUCUAUGUCAAGAAGACUGGCAACUCUGGGAACCCAAUCAGAAGGUGGUUUAGAUUCUCUUUAUCCGAUGUACGUUGCGCUGCACACAAGUGCGUCUGCAUUUUUUCUCUUGCACUCCUAGAGGGAUCAAGACACAUAGAAUUAGAAAUGAGAUGAUAGGCCUGAAAAUGUAAGAACUAAAGAAAUAUACCCCCUUUCCUGUAUCUCUUCUCGAGAUAAAACAAUGUUUUUGCAAUAUUAUUUCCUGUAAAAUCUCAUAUUGAAAUAAUCUUGUAGACUUUAGUAUUGCAAGGUGUAAGAUGUUGAUUGUGAGUUGCAAAUCUUACACCAAGAGGUGGUAUCUCUCAGAAAAGUAUCCUUGUUUUUUCUCCUUUUUAUUUUUUGUGUUCUGUCUAUCCAAUGCUUUCACUACCUGAUUUGUUGGAAUUACUACAUUCGUACCAAAAUAGACAAUACUUGGCCCAGCCUUCAUUAUUCAUAUUAAAGGUGGAAAUUUCCAAGUUUGAUACAACACGAAGUUGACGAUGGAGACACAAUGAAGUGGGAUGGCAUUAAAUCAGAGAGAAAGAAGAACAUGAGGCGUGAUAUGGCGAAAGGUCGGGAGAGAGAAACAAGCUUUGAUGUACCGAUUUGGUAGAACAUUGCAUGCACAUUUACUGUCCCCACAGUUUUACGGAGUAUAAAAGUCGAUUGAGUAGCCUAUAUGUUGGUUUUAUGACCUUCAAGGAAGAUGUGGAGGUUGCUAAAUAGGAGGGAGGAAGACACCAUAUUUAUGAAUAAAUUGUCAGAAAAAAAUGAUAUUAAUUUUUCCUGUGGCAACACACGGGCAAUCAACUAGUUGUGGUAGUGUUACCUUCUAUUUUUAUUUUUGUCUUCUACUCGCUGAUUUGAACUUGGUUCACAUUUAAUAAAACGGUUGUGCCAAAAAUGGGUGGUUGCAUAAAUGCCUUGCAAAGGCUCAUUUGAGAACAAACAUAAAUAGUUCCAAUUUAGAAGAAGAAACUAAAGAUGCAAUCGCAACAUCGUUGAUAGUACUAGUAGCAGUGAUCUACCAGAUAUGGUGUUCACCAAUCAAUGAGGCAUGACAUGUCGUGUUCAUAGUGACCUAUUGUAUUGGUAGUGUGGUACAAGAAGAGUAGCAAACAUAUCUGAAGAUGAAUCACCAACAUUUAUACUGCCAAAAAAUGACAACAAUAAAUGUAAUCUCGUGAAUGAACCUAGCACAGAUCAAACAAAUCAUAAUAGAGGUCGUGAGUCCAUUAUAGCCAGUUCAGUUCAAAGGCAGCAGUCCUAUUCAAAAGCUACAACAACAAAAAAGACCUGCAUAUUUCAGGAAAUAUAUCCCUCUCGUGAAUUGAGAAACAGUUACAGGCCACACUAAUACACAACUAGAUAAAUCAUGAUGGUAUGCAUCAACUGACAUUUUACCGAUCUCCAUUAGUGUAAUAUGACAUGAACUUUUCUCACCAGCCUAGUAUUAGUUUUGGUAACUCACCAUGUUGGACGGAGAUGCCAGAGACAUGGGUUCAGUGACAGUUCGCCUGAGUCAUGGUGGUCCUAUAGGCUAUGGUGGACAAGCUUAGUUGGUUAAUUUUUUCUAUCUCUUACUGUCUUACACCAAAAUAAAGCAAAGUAGACAAAGGAAGAACAAAAAUACCAUGUGUUUGAAUAAACGACUUAACAGGAGGGGGCUCGGUGCACAGGAAUGAGAGUGGGCGUUGUCAUCACACCACCACUCCAGACCUCCAUCAUGGUCAACAAUACAACCACCUUAACGCGGCCACACACGUCACUACAACUAUAUCUGUACUAUUAAAGGGGAUCUUGCCGUCUGUCGUGAUGGUUCGACCACAGCAGAUCCCGCGUCGUUACAGCUAUCCCUUCCAUCGAUUUUUAUUCGUCCCUCAAUAAACCACGCGGCCCUUUCACCGAUUUUUUCCCAACCCUCCAUAAACCGGUUCAAUACCCCACUCGUGACUCAUCGAUCGCAUGCAGUAAAAAGAAUCGUUAGAUCCCGCAGCACGAGAGAACGAGUCCACGUUUCCCACCCCUUGUCGCUAAAAAAAACUGCCACGUUUCCCACCCCCACCUCUCCCCACCCCUCGUUCCCGAUCUCGUCGCUCUCCUCCCAAAACUCAUCCCACCAGAGAGAGGAAGGAGCACAGCCGCCAAGGCGCCGAGGAGGAGUCCUCCUGCUCCCCCUACCCCCUCCCCGGCACCCCCUUCUCCUCCUCCCCUCGCCGCAUGGAUCCGCACGGAUCCGUCAGCGGAGGGGUCUCUAGCACGCCGGCGGCUCGACUUCGAGGGGGAUCUGCUUUGAGCGGGGGUCAAUGGCCGGGGAGUCGCGCCGGACGAUGCGUCACGGCGGGCGUUCGCUGCGGCGGGCGUGAGCGAGGCGAGGGACGGCGGCGCCGGUACUAGGGGAGGACGGGGGACGUCGGCACGUCACGACGGUCGUUCAUUGCGGAGGCGCACAUGGAGCGGGGCGCUACGGGAGGGGAUGACGGAGGUGGAGGGGGAUGCAUUGUAGGGGACGGUGCGGGCGGAACACACCUUCCCAGGGCGGGCUCCGGGGGCCACCUGCAUGUCGCUGGUGGCGCAGCGCAUGCCGGCGUCGGGGUGCGCGGCGUGGCCCAUCGUGCGCAACUUCGGCAACCCGCAGCGAUACACGCACUUCGUGCGCACCAGUGCGCUCGUGGCCGGCGACGAGGCCAGCAUCGGCAAGGCCUGGGAAGACACCGUUGUGUCUGGCCUCCCGACCUCCACCAGCUCCGAGCGCCUCGAGAUACUCGACGACGGCCGUCAUAUCCUCAGCUUCAGCAUCGUCGACGGUGAGCACUGCCUCUGCAACUACCGCUCCGUAUCCUCCGUCACCGAGAUCCUGCUGGGCCCCUACCGUGCUGUCGUCGAGUCCUAUGUCGUUCCUGAUGGCUAGCGACACUGGUGCUCAACAGGGGAAAAACUCAAGUGGCGGGUGCUCUCAACAAGAUGGCGUUGCGCUCAUAUUUUUACAUUUCGUCUUUAUACCUCAAAUACAAUUAUGUUCUCAUCCAGAUCAAUGUGGAAACAUAUUCAUCAUCUGGGAACUAGACCAUAAGUACUACUCCAAAACUGGGAGAUUCCUCCGUUUUCAUCUAUUUACUUCAAUUUUCAUCUUAUAUGUUACCAUUUGUGUUUGCAUCCAAGCUCUUUGGUCAAAUUUUCUAUUCAUUACUUAUGUAUCCACAUUCAAUAUCAGAUGUUGCAUUAAAGUAUGACUCUCCGAGAUGCCCCCUCCCAUUGCCUGUAACAAUGAGUUUAUUACUUCUACAAAAAAUGGCCAAGAGAAGUUCAGUUCAACCUAGGCAUACAAUUUCUGAAUAUGGUAAAGCUGGAGAUAGAAAAUAUCACUUCUAAUGCACCCAGUGGCCCUCUGCUAUGUUUCCUAUACAGCUGGUUACAUUCCACCCGAGGUUUAUUCAGCAAACAUGUUUCAUGUCUGGAUUUGUAAUGUGUGAAAUAAUUCUACAUGACAGUUUCAUGGAAGUUGAUUCAUCUGGGAGAGCUGCGGCUGGGAUCAGAGAAUUAUGAGCUGGUGUGUCCAAAGAAGGAUCUGGUGUAAGCUCCAAAGACAACAACAUGCAGGUAUGGUCUGACUAACACUUCUAGCUAUCAUAAAUGCCCAUGUGUCCUCUUAUAUAAGAGUUGGCUAAAAACUAACAAAUGUAUGAUUUGUGUGUUGGUGCUUAUCAGCUUAUACCAUUGCAUAGUUUGCAUCGUCAACGAUAUAGCCUACCUAGCAUAUGAGUUUCUCUGCUUGUUCAUGCAUUUUGCUGAAAUGCAGUAUUUGAUCCUAUGGAUAUAUGAGAAAACUGGUUCAUGUAUCUGGAGUUCUCAAAAUCCAUCAAAUCUUGGUAGCUGGACUGGCUUCACAUAGAGCAUACGAAAAUCACGUUCACUUCAAACUUUAGCAUAUUUACUCAAAAUGUAGGAUCAAAUUUAGGUUAGGACUUAGGGGGACAAGAAUAAUUAUCAUAUAUCCCGUACUAGCACCUCGAAGAAACUUUUUUUACUGGACCUUGCUGUUAAUAGGUUCAUCAUUUUUUUCACUAGCAGCCCGUUAUUUUUGUCCCGUUGCAACCCACGAGCAUUUGUGCUAUAUCUCUACUAUUAAAGGGGGAUGUGUCGUCGUGAUGGUUUGACCUCCUCCCGUUCCCAUGUAUGAUCCCUCUCCCACUCCCACCUCCUGCUUCUCCCCUCGAUGUCACGCAGAAAAAAUUGCUCCAUCUGUCUAUUUCGCAUGACAAACCCCCGAUCCCACCCAUCGCGGUUAAACAAAGAAUAACGAACCGCCACCACACAAACACGUCCCGCUCCACAAGUCCACCUCUCCCUAACCCCACGCUCCCGAUCUCAUCUCUCUCCUACUGAAAAGCAUUGAUGCCAGUGCUCGCCAUACCACGCCAACACCCAUCUCCAUGCUAUCUUGCACUCCAACGCAACCCCCGCUCCCUCUGUAUUGAGGACAAUGGGGGAUCCAUGGCUCGUGGAAAGAUCUGGAGCGCCGCAUGCCGUGUACCUCUUGUUCGUCCACCUGCAGCAAUCGCCCAAUCAUCUGUGUCACUGUGUGUUCUCUCAGGUGAGCUUCUCUCUCUCUCUCGAGUUGGUACCUCUUGUUCCCCUUCAUUCACCCGUUUUGUGAGCCUGCAGUUUGAUGUGGACGACACGCCGCGGACCACCACCGCCUUGUGAUUGAGCGCAUCAGUGCACGACUGGCCCAUGAAGGGUUGGUGGCAGUACUCUAAUAGAUGUAGAGUGUGGCUAUGAACUCCUCUCACAGCUUGGCAACGACACCGGACAAAGCGUGCAUCAGGUACGUCCUAUCUUGUCGCGGUUGUUGGUAAUACAACAUUUGCUCUUGGAUACAUUUCUCAACACUUGCCGUGUCGUCCCUAACGCGGGCACUGUCCAAGCUACUCCUCUCAUGCCCCAUAUCAUCCACGACGAUGGUGUUCGUCCACCUGCAGCAGUCGCCCAAUCAUCUGCGUCACUGUGUGUUCUCUCAAGUGAGCUUCUCUCUCUCUCGAGUUGGUACCUCUUCGUUCCCCUUCAUUCACCCGUUUUGUGAGCCUGCAGUUUGAUGUGUGCACUUGUGUAUUUUUUCUUUGCAUGAAGUUAGCACAUGGGAUGGAUCUGGCGUGAUGGAUUUAGC